rnacentral:lncRNA from 1 species
CGAAAGUAAAGCACUAGUCUCAGAUGUCUUCUGAGUAAAAGGAUAACUUUCUCACUUGUUAAUAACAUAAUUAAGAUCCACGUAUUUGUUUUGUUUUGUUUUGUUUGGUUGGCUUUAUUAUUAAUAUUGUUUUUUUUAAUCAAAAUCUUUUCCUCUUUUUUCGAAUUUGUAAGAACUUUCUAGGUCAUAACGGGGAGUAGACCACCACUUGAAAUUAACCUGCUCAUUUCCGCAUAAGAUCAUAGUAUUUCUUUAUUAAAAACUAGUGGAUUACUUUGAACCUUCCUCAGAUGAAGCUGCCUCUACCUUUGAAAACUUGAGACACACCUUCACACAAGGGAACCUUGACACACCUUCACACAAGGGAACCUUGGUCCAAUCCAUCUAUAAAUACCACCCUAGUUCUCACAUCUCUCCUCACCUCGAACCACUCUCUGCAAUCCAAUCAAUCCUCCUUCUCUUCCUCUUUUGAUCCUUUUCAUUUCAAGCUCUAAGAUCAUGGGUGUUUUCACUUACGAGCAGGAGAUCACUUCUUCAGUUCCCCCGGCCAAGAUGUUCAAGGCCGCUGUCCUUGAUGCUGACAACCUCAUUCCCAAGGUCAGGCCUCAAGCUAUCAAGUGCGUGGAAGUCAUUCAAGGAGACGGAGGCCCUGGAACCAUCAAGAAGAUUCACUUUGGUGAAGGUUAGUUUCUAUUAUAAUAAUUGCAACCCAUAUAACUAUCAGUGCAUGUUAACAGAAGAGACUAAUGGGGGUUCUGUUUUUUUUUUUUUUAUCUUUCUGGUUUCCAGGCCACAAAUUCAAAAGCAUGACACACCGGGUUGAUGCGAUUGACAAAGAGAAAUUCUCAUUCUGCUACACUGUGAUCGACGGGGAUGUUUUGACUGACGGCGUUGAAUCAAUUUGUCAUGAGCUCACAGUGGUGCCUGCUCCAGGUGGAGGAUCCAUCUACAAGAACACCAGCAAGUACCACACCAAGGGCGCUGAGGUCUGUGAAGAGCACGUUAAGGGUGGCAAAGAGGAUGCUCUCGCAACGUUCAAGGCUAUUGAAGCCUACGUCCUGGCCCAUCCUGAUGCCUAUUAAGUUUCCUGUCACGUUCUAUUGAGUAAGAGAUACUAGUCUCUUGAGUGCUCUACCUUCAUAGCAUCAGUCAAAGUGUGGAACUUUUGUGUUUUUGCCAUAUGGCCAAAGUAGCCUCGGCUUAAAAAUAAGAUUUUCCUAGGUGUGAACCUUGGUGUACUUGUAAUGUUUUGUUGGAAUGAAGAGUCAUGGUUGUAUUACCUCAAUAAAUAUAAUGAAAAUCAUCUUCUUAUGUUGUAUUACCUUAAUAAAUAUAAUGAAAAUCAUCUUCUUAUUAAGUGAUCAUAUAUAUUUGAAUUGACAUGAUUGGGUUAUUGCUUUUAUUUCAGAAAUUUUCAGGAAAACUUGAUACGUUCUGCAUAAAGCCUUUCUUUUCUUAUCUAAAUUUAUUCGAGACCUAACUCUAGCAACAUUCUAAAGCAUAGAAAUUGAAAGAAACAAAAAACAAUGAGGCCAGUAAUUAAUUUGGAAGAAACCCUACUUUCAAUUUUUGUUUUUAUUGCUUUAAUCAACAUUGAGUUAGCAUUCGUAUAAAGGGUAAUUCAUCAUAUGAUUUUCCACACUAAACUCAAAAGAAAAAAAUGGUUGAUAUGUGUUUCUUAUAUGUAUAUCCUAAAUUUGUACAGCUACAUACACCUUAGUAUUGAUAAGGUAUGUGUAUCCCAAACUGUUUUUGGAACCAAGUACUUUGUAUUUUUGUUGAAGGUCCUCCAAAAAAUGGUGUACGGAUUGGCAUUCCUGUAAUUGUUCUCUGAAAGUGAUUUGCCAAUCCAUAAAUGCCACUACAAGCUUUUGAUUUAGUGAUCGCCAUUUUUGACUUCUUCCAUGAUUAUGCAUUUCCAAAUCAUAAUUAAUUAGUUAGGUGGAUCACGAGAUUUGUCUUUAUUUCUUUCCAAAGUCCUCUGCAGCCGGUGUUGAAUAAGUCCAACCUUCUAGUGUUCUGCCAAAUAUGAAAUAGAAAAAUAGCCAUAUGGUGAAUAAUAUAAGACAUGUAGGACUAUAUGAGAUAGAAGAGUUCUUAAUUUUCUUCCCUUUCUUUAUGGGAACUUAUCCACUUGCACAGCCUACAUGACAUGUGUCCUUUUCCUAAUUCAUCACCAUUUAAUGUCGACCCAUGAAGAAACACAUCCACAAAUAUUUGGUUGGAUAUCCAAGGUAAAGGUUCAUUGAAUCGUGUAUUCUACUUGUCGUUUACUUGUAGACUACAUGAAUUGAAAGUAGACAAAAAUUCCCAGAUUUCCAACCAAAAUCCAAAACAACUGUAAGUGGAGCAAAAGUCCCAGAUUUCUAACCAUAUCCAAAUCCUCUUAAAGGUGAAUUCUCAGGUUGAGGACCUCCAAUUGGAGUCCUCCCCCACAAAAGAAAGUUCUUCAUUGUAAAGUAAUAGCUUAGUUACUUGGUACCUUACUCAGACACACCCAACAAGAGAAUUAUCCAUCAAAAUGAAAACUGGAAACAUCUUCGCACAAUGGAACCUAGACCCCCCUAAUUCUCACAUCUCUCCUCUUCUCAAACCACUAUAUCUGCAGACAAACCACUCUCUAUAAAUACCACCCCUAUCUAGAAACUUCCUCGUGAAGGUAUACAAAAAGCCCAGUGAAAUUAAAGAGGAGGGAUUUUAGUUUUCUGCCAUGUUAUUUGCGUACCAUGCAUGAAAAAGUCUAAAAUGCAUAGUUGUAAUGUUCCUUUUGGACAAUUUCAUGCGUCUGUUUAACCAUUUCAGUUUAUUCAUUCUGAUGUAUGGGGCUAUCUCUAGUUUUGGUAGUAAAUGGAGUGAGAUAUUUUGUUCCUUCUAUUGGUGAUUUUACAAGGUUCACCUGGAUUUAUAUUUUGCAAAACAAAGAAGUGGUUUUGAUACUUUCAUCAAAUCCCAGGCACUUGGAGAGACUCAGUUUGGCACAAGAAUUCAACAAAUACAAUCUGAUUGGGAUGGUGGGUUUCAAGUUAUUUCUGCUUAUUUGGGAAAACAUGGCUUGAUUCAUAAAAUCCCUUGCCCUUACAUCCCUCGGGAAAUGGUCUAGCAGAACAUAAGAACUGCCAUGUUAUUAAAGUUGGAUUUUCUAUGUUGGCUUAAUGCAGCAAGGCCACUCAAAUAUUGGCCAUUUGCGUUUCAAACAACAACCUGCUGGAUCAAUCAAUUGCCCAAAGGUUCUUUUGUUUCUUUCUAUCCUCAUGAAUCUCUUUACCACUGCAAACCUAAUUACUAUGUUCUUCGAGUUUUUGGGUGUGCUUGCUACCCUUUUCUUCGCCCUACAACAAGCACAGACUUCAAUUUUGAUAUACUAAGUGCCUUUUCUUGGUUUACGACCCCAAACAUAAAGUACAUAUGCUUUUAUUUAGAUAACUCUUGUGGCCGAAAUUAUGUCUCGAGGCAUGUGGUAUUUGGUGGAUUUCAUUUUCCUUUUGUUGUACAAAAUGUUUCCUCUCCUGUCUCAUCAACUCCAUCCUCUCUUGUACAAAAUCUUGUCAUGAAACUGAAUUCUUUUACCGGAAGUACUUAAGAAUUUAUAGUAGCAACAAGCUAUGGUAGCUGAGUGUAUAUGAAGCCUUUAUCAUGAUCAUCGUUUCAACCAUCCUCUUUCUCCAUCUUCCAGCCUUUAGUCAUGCUGAUUGGGCCAGUUGCCUAGAUGGUCGUUGCAGUACAAGUGGUUAUUGUGUCCUUUUGGGGUCAAGCUUGAUCUCCUCGUCUGCUGCUAAACAGAAGAUCGUUCCAGAUCGAGGACUGAAUCCGAGUUUUAAGGUUUGGCCAAUGCAACAGCUGAAUUGACAUGGAUACAGUUUCUUUUUAGGGGAUUAUUUAUUCCUUUGAUUCAGCCACAUGCUCUCUACUGUGAUAAUUUGAGCACAAUGUACUUGGCCACUAAUCCGAUUCUUCACUCCUGUGCCUAACAUGUGGUGAUAGACUACCAUUUUGUUCAUAAACGAGUACUACAGAACACGUUGGAUGCUUAUUUCAUUCCGUAUGAGUCAAUUGGCAGAUUUAAUGACUAAUGCUCUUCCUACAAGUCGGUUCAUUAGCCUUCAAAGCAAGACCAUAAUUCUUUCUCACUUUGUGCUCUUGUGGUGAUGUUAAGCUAAGUUUCAACUUCUUCCAAAAGCUUUCCAUGAAUGUAUAAAUAGCCCAUUGCAAUUAAAGAGAAGUGGGAUUUUAGUUUUCUUCCAUGCUGUUUGCUCUGUUCCAAAAGUUUUCACCUUUGAUCAUUUUCAAACUCUUAACAUCAUAGGUGUUAUGAGUAUGAGAUCAUUUCUUCAAUUACCCCAGCCAAGAUGUUCAAGGCCUUUAUCCUUGACGCUGGAAACCUCGUCCCUGAGGUCCUACCAUACCAAAGGCGAGACAGAGAUUAGUGACUAUUAGAAUAUUAUAGCAUUUAUGUAAUUAGCUAUUCCCAAUUCAGUUGAUAUUGUUUUCUUUUCUGAUAUUUGAUGAGCUGGAGUAGUUAGUGUAGUUGUGAGACUCCAAGCUACAGAUAGGUCACCAUUUUUGUAUCCCGUACUGGACAGAAAUCUGAACAUCAAUGGGAUAGACAUUUUCCUCUGUUUUUCUUUCUCAACACUCUGUUUUUGACUAUUAGAAUCUUAUGGCAUUUAUGUAAUUAGCUAUUCCUAAUUCAGUUGAUAUUGUUUUCUUUUCUGUUAUUUGAUGAGCUGGAGUAGUUAGUGUAGUUGUGAGACUCCAAGCUACAGAUAGGUCGCCAUUUUUGUAUCCCGUACUGGACAGAAAUCUGAACAUCAAUGAGAUAGACAUUUUCCUCUGUUUUGGUAAUAGUGACUAACAAAUGAAGACUGGUAAAGUGAAGGCAAAGCAGAGAUAUAGUUAGACCAGGUUUUUUCUUCCUAAUUAAUAGAAAAGACUACCAACAAAUGUGUGUCAACGAGUCCAUCAUGGACGAAAGGAAGAUCAUAUUUGAUUGCAGUCUACUAGUCUAGGGUAUUUUAAAACAAAGAGGAAAGAAGGGUCUGAGCAGUAAUUUGGAUAAGCUUCUCACACUAGUUAAAAAAACAAAAGGGGUAAGCUGCUCAGACUAUUAGAAUUUCUAGUCAUUCAAGUUAUUCCUAGUAAAAAAAAAAAUGUAAGCUUCUCACACUCCAUGAUAUGGGCUUAAUUAAUGCCCAUUGUUCUGUUUUCUGCAUGGUAAGUUCUCAGGUUGACAAUGGAAAGCAUGCAUUAGACCUUCACAUGAAAGCUUGUCCUUUCCCACUGAGAAAAAUUCUUUAGUGGAAAUUAAUUGAUUACAUUGUAGCUUCUUCAGGGGAUCCAACAAGAAAAGAAUGGAUUACCUCAAACCUUGGAAAACUGGGAACAAUUUCACACAAGGGAGCCUUCGCCUCAAUCUAUAAAUACCACCUCUAGUUCUCACACCUCUCUUCACCUCAAAGCACUCCCUCCAAACCAAUAAACCUCUUCUCCUCCUCUGAUCAUUUUUUAAACACUAGCAUAAUGGGUGUUAUCACUUAUGAAAUGGAGAUCACUUCUCCAAUCCCCCCAGCCAAGAUGUUCAAGGCCUUUGUCCUUGACUCCGACAACCUCAUCCCGAAGAUCUGCCUCAGGCUAUCAAGCGUGUUGAAACCAUUGAAGGAGGUGGAGGGUCGGGAACCAUCAAGAAGAUUACUUUUGGUGAAGGUUAGUUUGCAUUAUCAUGAUUCAUCAGCACUGUAUGAAUAAUCCUUUCAAAAAUCUUAUUCUGUUUUCAUCUCUUAAAAGUAAUAGAAGUUCUUCCAAAAUGCCAUUAGGACAAUAGCAUAAAAAUCCACUGGCAUGAUAUUAUAUGUUACACAAUGGAGUAACUAACAACAGUUUUUUUUUUCUUUCUUUUACGUUCAGGUAGUCAAUUCAACUACAUAAAGCACCGGAUAGAUGGGAUCAACAAAGAGAACUUCACUUACAGUUACAGUGUGAUCGAAGGUGAUGCUUUGAUGGGCACCCUUGAAUCAUUCUCUUAUGAGGUCAAGUUGGUGGAGGAUCCAUCUGCAAGAACACCAGUAAAUACCACACCAAAGGGGACAUUGAGAUCACAGAAGACCAGAUCAAGGCUGCCAAAGAGAAGGCCAUGGGCAUGUACAAGGCUGUUGAAGCCUACCUCUUGGCAAAUCCUGAUGCCUAUUAAACAGAGUGGUCCAUAUUCAAUAUAGUACUAGUCUCUUGUGUCUCCCUUCAUGUCAUCAGUUAAAGGUGUGGAUUUUAUAUUGUUUCUGCAUAUGGCCAAAACAACCCUAGGCUUUACAAUAAGAGUUACCAUGCAUGAUCCUUGGACUUGUAAUGUUAGAUUGCAAUGAAUGUCAUUGUUGUAUUUUUCACAAAGUGUAAUGAAAUUCAUCAAUCUUUUAAUCAUUAAGAAAUAUUUGAGUUGCUAUCCUCGGGUAAUUGCUUCUAAUCCAAAAAAUUUCAAGCAAAUUUUCUGUAUUUUCAAUAGAAUGGCUGAAUGUCCAGAAAAACCUCAAAUUUCUUUAUUUAUUUAUUUUUUUGUAUUUAUUCAGAUCCCUGAUCAAGUCAAUGAAGAAUGAAAGAAAUAUAAUAUCCACUGGCAAUCCAACAAUAUUCUGGAAAAAAAAAAAGAAAAAGAAAAGAAGAAGAGGGUCAAAUACAGUAAUAUAAGAUCCAAACUCUAAGCAAGCUAUAUAACUCAACCUAAAUCUAAUUCUACUCUAAUUUGCCUUUUUUCUUUCAAUUUUUCAUAUUUAUUUUAAAGAAUCUUCACUGCUCAGAAUGUUAACAUUGGUUUGAUCAGGCAGUUGGCAUACUAGAAACCUGAAUACAUAUACCACCGGGCCUAAUUCUAAGAAAAAUGGCUGUAUCAUUUCUUAAAUUCAUUGUGAAACUGGAUGAUCAUUAGAAUUUGUUUUGAACCAGGGCAUGGUCAUACACAGUAUGCUGAAUCAGAGAUGCAUUGGCUAUUUGUACAUAAAAAGGUGAAAUAUGCAUGGGCAUAUAUUUAAAACUUGGUCCUGUUCUUUUAUUCACUGUGUAGAAGUGUAGCCAUGGGCACAUAGAUAUAGUUCAAGGCAUGGAAGAAUGGAUUAAAGGACCAUGUUGAAUCAAAGAUGUGGAUUGUAAUGGUUGAUUAUGUUAAGAAGAAUUAUCUACAACUUAAACUGAUCCUUGCCAAGCCAAGGCAGAAUUUAAAAAUAGCCAAUUUCUUCUAAUUUAUCUUUCUUUUAGUGAACAGUUUACUAAGCCGGAAAUAGAGUUACUCCAUAAGUUAUGUGUAAGAUCAAUAACUUUAUCAUAGCAUGUAUAAAUCUCUGUUUGGAACCAAGUGAGCCUUGUAUUCUUGUGGAAAGUUAUGCAAAAUUGGCAUACAGAUCAAUUUUUAUUAUUUUUGAAAGCUCUCUUAAAGUUAUUUACUAAUCUGUAAAUACUGCAUGCACUACCGUUCAGAAAUGCGGUUUGUCUAGAUUUUUAGUCGUCGUCAAUGCUUGGAGUCAUUGCAGUUGUUAUUGAAUUUGUCCAAGCUUCUAGUUGUUGUGGCAAGUUGGAAACACCAAACUUUUGAAUUGAUAGAGAGAUUCUAAUAUUUCUGAAUUAUUUAAAGGAAGUUGUCUACUGAUAGAAAUUUUUUGCCUGUUUUGACUGGGUUUAUAUCAUUCUUCACCAUUCCAAAAAAAUGACUUAUAAAGAGCCCCCUCUCCAAUUACAUGGUCAAGAGUAAUUUGAAUACUUGAUUUUUACAAUGUCAGUAUCUAAGGAAAAGACUCAGUUAGCUGUUGUAUUCAACAUAUCAUUUACUUGUAAGCUACAAGCACAGAAGGUAAAUUAAGCACUUGUAGCUGUAGGUGAUUUCUAAUCAUCCAUGAAAUUUGAGUACGAAGGCGGUUUCAUCACAUUUUGAUAAUAGAUAUUGGGUUUAAAUAAGAUAGACCGAUGGUUUAAUUUAUUUGUGUUUUCGUUUUUGUGUAUAUGAAUGAGAACUCCAUCGGUAGUCAAAUUGGCCAACCCCACCGACGAAAGUGUUUUUAUUGAAAAAUGAUGGAUUACCAUGUAGAAGGGACCCAACAGGAAAAUGGUUAUCACCUUAACCCUUUGAAAACUAGGGACACUUUCACACAAGGGAGCCCUUGGCCUAAAUCUAUAAAUGCCACCCUCUAGUUCUCACAUAUCCUCACCUCAAAACACUCCCUACAAACCCAGCAAGCAUCCUCCUCCUCCUCCUUCGAUCAUUUUCAAAUUAGGCUCUAGCAUCAUGGGUGUUAUUACUUAUGAGAUGGAGGUCACUUCUUCAAUACCCCCAGCCAAGAUGUUCAAAGCCUCUGUGCUUGAUGCCGACAACCUCAUUCCCAAGAUCCUUCCCCAAGCUAUCAAGAAUGUUGAGAUCAUCCAAGGAGAUGGAGGGCCUGGAACCAUCAAGAAGAUCUACUUUGGUGAAGGUCAGUUUGCAUUAUAUUACUUACUUGGCACUUUAUGCCUAACAUCUUAUGUCACUUUUGUCACUCUUUGAAAGCAAAACUUGUUUUGUUUAAGCUUAAAGAGAAGUAAUUCGCCAGGGAACUCCAUAAGCAUUCAUCAUUUUUGCAUGAUAUCGUAUCAGCCAGACAAGUAACGAGUGUUCUUAUGAACAUGCAGGCAGCCAAUUCAAGAGCGUGACACAUCGUGUUGAUGGGAUUGACAAAGAGAACUUCACUUACAGUUACAGUAUUAUCGAAGGUGAUGCUUUAAUGGGCAUCCUAGAAUCAAUCUCUUAUGAGGUCAAGUUGGUGGCAUCUCCUGAUGGAGGAUCCAUCUGCAAGAACAUUAGUAAGUACCACACAAAAGAUGAUGCAGUGAUCGAUGAAGAGCAAAUUAAAGCUGGCAAAGAAAAGGCUUCUGGGAUGUUCAAGGCUAUUGAGGCUUACCUCUUGGCAAAUCCUGAUGCUUAUUAAGCAGUAUAUCAUUGAGAUAUUAUUAGUCUCGUGUCUCCCUAUAUCUAUAUAUAUAUUGGUGAAAGGUUUUACUUCUACAUAUUUGUUUUUUCUGCUAUAUGUCCAAAACAGCCUUGGGCUUGAGAAUAAUAUUUCCUGAAUGUGAUCCGUCAAAUUGGUUGUAGCCUUUGAUUGGAACAAAUAGUUUGUAUUAUCUUAAAGAGAUGAAGUGGUAUAUAUAUAUUUCUACCAAGGAAUUAAUUUUGCAUUUAUGUUUUCAAUAUUGCUUUUAGUCUUCAAAUUUCCUGGCAAGGUUUAUGGAGUUUCAAGAAAAACCUCUAAUUUCAGACAACCAAACAAAAUAAUUUAAGACACUUCAUUAAAUAUUUGUCCCACUAUUGGACCCUUGGUCUACCUAAUUUAAGGUAAAACCAAUAAAAAAAAAUACAUGAGAUAAGUUAAAAAAAAAUAAUGAGAAGGAAGUUAUAUCUACUUGCAGUCUUUCGUAAUUUAGAUCAUUUGGGUUGUGAAUCCAUAAAACAAAUAACUAAAUGAACUCGUAAAAAAAGCCUAGGAGGAAUUGAUUUCAAAAAUAGUUUUUUCAACUUAAAAGACAUUUUGAUAAAUUUUGAAUGAAAACAUUCUUUUGGGAAAAAAAAAAUUGUGAAUAAAUUUGAGCUAUUUUAAUAGAAAAAGAAUAUUUUAAGAAUUUUUGUAUUUUACAUAAAUGUAUAAUAUCUUCACAAAGAAUAAACUAAAAAAAAUUAUUUUUUAUGUUUGAGUUUUCAAAUGAAGUUUUAUUUCUAAAAAGAAUUAAAAAUUAUUUUUAAGAACGAUCUAAUUUUUUUUUUUUAAAAUUGUUUUUAAAACCGUUGCUAAAUGGACAUGUCUUUUUCAAAUUUUUGUUUAUUGUUGUAACACAAAAUUACAUAAACUACCAGCAUGUAACCAGAGGAUCAAAAUGUACGUUUAUCCAGUUAUAUUCCUCUUUUUUUAAGCAUUUUUUUUUCUAAAGAAUUAUCAUUUGAAUGAAGGGGAAAGUAUUCUUUUCUCACUGUUGACAUUGAUUUGAUCAAAGGAUAGAUCUCUUAUGGUUACUGAUAUGGUUUUCAUACUGGAAAGGAAAAAAUAUUCGUAACCAUUUAAGAAAUGGGUCCCUGCUACAACAACGUCUAGCCAAACAAAACAAAACAAAUCUCUAGACUGGAGCCUAUAUUUAAGGACUGUCAACAGUCAAUGACCAACUUCUGAUUUACAAUAUUUGAUGUGUUGUUUAUUCAGCUAAAAUUACUAUAAUUUUGUCAUGCCAUGUGAAUCCAAAACUUCAUAUCAAACCAUGUGCUGUGUAUUCUUGUUGAAGGUUUUCCCACUUGUAUUCCUGUUGAAUGUACACAAAUGGUGUACGGACUUGGUCUCCUAGACUCCAAAUCCUUUCCCACUUUCCUAGUUAGUCCAUUUCUUACUCUACUUCUUCCUUGAUCAUUUCACAUUAUAAUUAAGGAGAUCAUGGGGUUUGUCUCUAUUUCUAUGACUCUUAAAUGUAUGUAUGAGAAUCAUAUAUAUAAAACAAUUGUGCUUUGAACCUAGUUGGGCCCAAAAAUUAAGCUUUGGUCCAUGUAAGUUCACUAUUUAAGCCAAAAACCUAGAGAAAGUGUAAAGAUUGAGAAAAAGGAUAUGAAUUUUUUAUCUUUCCAAAAAUGAUCUUUAUUGACUAUGAAAAAAAAAAAAGAGUAAAAAAAUAUUAAUUUAAAUUUUAUCUUUUUAUAAACCUCAAUUAAAUUUAAUUUAAUUUAGUGAUUUGGAAAAAAAAUACACCAUUUUCCAAAAAAAAUAAAAAUAAAUUAUUAUUAUUAUUAUUAUUAUUAUUAUUAUUAUUAUUUAAAAAUUAAACAUCUUGAAAAAUAUAUAUUUUUAAAAUUAUGUAUGUAAAAAAUAACUAAAAAUAUGUCAAAAUUAUUUUUUUUAAAUGACAUAUUUUUUUAAAAAAAUAGUUUUCUAAAAAAAAUAAAUUUUCAGAAUAAUUAUUAAAAAAAAUUUAAGAUAAAAAAGUUUGUCAAAUAUUAUGGUAGAAAAUAGUCAAAAUAGUUUUGAAUGGUAUAUUGGUCUCUUCACAUUUUAUAUCAUUCUCAUCAAUUAUGCAACUUUUAUGAACCAAAUUUUAAUUUUUGGGCCCAGCUGGGUCCAAAACACAAUUGUCCCGAAUCAUAUUGAGCUAGCCAUUAUUGAAUAAACUCCAAGCGUCUACUGUUUUGCCAAAUUGGUCAUUAGAAAAUUAAUUAGCAAAACGGUAAGUAAAUAGGCUAUAUGGGAAUCAUCAUGGCAGAGUAGACCUGAAAUGAGAUGAAGGGUUUGUUAAUACUAUUCCUGAUUUUGUUCCCCUCAUUUAAGGGCUCUUGUCCAUUGGUAAAUAUUUUUAGCAUGUUCUGACCAUGGAAGAAAAUAUCGGUAAUCACGGAUAUAUCGGUACUUCGAUUUUACGGAUAUAUCGGAUAUAUCGGAGAUAUAUCGGCGAAUAUUUUGGAAAAAAAUAUCGGUAGGCUUAAAAUUGUUAAAAACUCAUGGAAAUGUAAAGAAAACUUCAUAAUAAUAUAAUUAGAAGUAUAAUAGACAUUUUAAAGUUGUUUUGUAGAAAAAAUUGAUAUACAUAUGAUAUAAUUUGCGAUAUUAAAUGUAAUUAUAUCAUGUCGAUCUAUAAGAAAUGUUAAUUUUGUAAUUGUUCUCAUUAUAAAGUCAUAAAAUACUUCAUUUCAUUAAAUAGCAAUAAUUUGUACACAUUACAUUACAAUGUCCCUUUAAUACCAAAAUGAGGAUCGAUGUGGUUCAAUGGGAUUGAUAGAUGAAGGAACACCGUCUUGCUGUUGGAGACAAUAUUGGUACCAACUCAAUGAGCCUCGAUAAUAUUGGUUAAAAAUUCUAACAUGCCAUGCAUAUAUCUCUUGAGUCCUGCCCACUGCCUCUACAUGGAUAGGAUACUCAAAGUUCACCCAUGUGUUAAUGCCCAAUCCUCCUUCCAUCUGAUAUGGAACUUGGUAAGAAAUUUGUCUAGAAGGUGAAUAACGCGACAUACCAUACUCUUCAUCUGUUGAACUUGAAGGUUGACCAUAACUCAUCACAUGAGAAGGGUAGACAUUAGCCUCAUUCGAGGAGUCACUAAAUUGAGUUCCUAUACUCAUAGAUUCAAAACUCCCUGAAAGUAACUCCUCAUUAUAUGGUUCCAUCAUUCGUUCUCUUCCUCUAUAAGGCUUCCCAAUAACUCCUAUGCCUGGACCAGCUCUUCUAGAGCCAUGGUCUUCAUUCUGUGUGCAGUGUGUGAAAGUAUUUUCAUAGGUGAAUUGGUUGACUGGAUAUUGACUAUGUUGACGUUCAUUAAUAUCUCCUCCCGCAUUAUCACCUCCAUCAUCAGUUCCACCUCUUGAACCAUCGUAACCAGAAGCAGAAGUACCUGCAGCACUAGGUCUACUACUAUGGCCAGCACUUGUGGAGUCAAUCUCUUGGUGGGAAUCAUCAGUAUCUUUGCUAAAACUUUCAGAGUGAACUUCUUCAGACAACACACGUUCAACAUUAACUCCAAAUUCUUGAGCAUGAGCAGCAAUUCGUGGAUCGGGAUUUCCAACUUCGUCAUCCAAGUGUAUAGGCCUCACCCAUUGGAACAACUGAUUAUCUUCUUCUUCACCCACCUCGGCUGAAAUGUCAAGAAGAUCAAGAUAAUCUUUUUCAGCAACUCGAUCAUUUUCUGCCUCCAUAUCGCGUAACUUUAGCCUCAUAUUAUAGUAACAAAAAACUAAUUGCCCCAAUCGAGAGUAAGCCAAACGAUUUCGUUGCUUUGUGUGGAUGAGAGCAAACGUGCUUCAAUUUCUCUCACAUGCAGUAGAUGACGCAGUUUGUGAGAGAACUUUGAUGGCUAACUUUCUCAAUGUAGGUGUUUGAUUCCCAUACAUAAACCACCAUUCAACUGCAACCAAUUUGAUAAUCAUAUAAAUACUUAUGUGGUGAAUUUACAAUAAUGAUAAUCAAUUUUUUCCUACAAAGACUCACCGGGCACCAUGGUUGACCUUGCUGCAAUUGCCGCUCGAUCACCGAAUCCUCUUUUUGCAUCUCGAAAAAGCACAAGCUAUGUAUUCAACAUUUAAUUUGUUAAUAUCAUAUUUGUUAGUAAAUGUUCAAAUAAAUUGAUGAAUGAAAUUAUUGUUUUAUAGACAAAUAACAGUUUUUUAUUUACCUCAUUUCCAAAUUGACCAAGUGAUUCAGUAGUUGGAUCUAAUUUUGCAAAAACAUCAUGGACCGCUUGAAGUAGUUCCGGAUCACUACCAACUCCACGCCUAUAUUGAAAUCUUGGAUUCAAGAAGUAUGCUACAAUAAAAUUAAGUAGAGUUAGUAUUUUUUUAAACAAAAUUAAAUACAGAGUAAAAACUUAUAAAGAUAUAUAGUACUUAAGUACUUGCUGCAUGAAGUGGAUGUUUUAGUGUUUUCUCCCAACGAUUUUGUAUUAUUUUGAACAUCCAAUCUCCAGCUCCUUGACGCGUAAGGUUCUUUUUCAUCACGUGCAUAAGCUCAUACACAAAUGGCAUUGUGGGAACAACUUCAGAAUCCAUAAGUCGAAGCACCACGUAUAAUGACUCAUAUAAUGAAACUAUAUUUGUCAUUCUGUCCCAAUACGCAUGGUCAAACAAUAAUUUCUCCAAUUCUCGUCCAUGUUUUGUUCGACUCAGCUUGUGUUGUGCCCAAUCAUUACUCAUAAACAAUUUUUUCAAAUCGACCCUUUUUUUAAGAAGACUGUCAAGAGCAAUAUAAUUGGUAGAAAACCUUGUAGCUCCUGGUCGAACAAUGUCUCCACCACAAUACAGUCUCAUUUGUGCUAGUAACCAACCAUGAUUGUAAAUGAAGUUAGUUAUCUUGCGAGCAUUGUUUAUCACCUCGAUAACACUGGGUCUUUUACCAAUGUCUUCAAAGAUUAAGUCGAUGCAGUGCGCCGCACACGGAGUCUAGUAUAAGUUAUACUUCUUCAUCAAUUGUUUCCUUGCUUUCAUGAACGCCGACCCAUUAUCUGUGACAAUUUGGACCACAUUUUCUUUACCGACUUCUUUGAUAACAGUCUUCAAUAGGUCGUAUAUAUACUUGUGGUCUUUGAUAUAGUUCGAUGCAUCAACUGACUUAAGAAAGACUGUGCUCCCUUUAGAAUAAACCAUGAAAUUAAUAAUACUUAAUUUCGUGGGCCCUGUCCAUCCAUCUGACAUUAUUGUGCACCCAUAUGUCUUCCAUUUUUCUCUUUGUUGGUUCACAUAAGCUUCCAUUUCUCUGUACUCCAUUUCCAAGUACUUGUUCUUUAUGUCAAAUGGAGAUGGAGGUUCGAUUCCCAUUCCUGCACUUCAUAUAAAAAAAAAAAUGUAAAACAUGUCACAAAAGACUGUACUUACUAAAAGUAUAGCACAAUAUAACAUUUCAAAAAUUAGUAAUUAUCAGGUUGUUGUGCACCAAUAAUCAUAUUCUUGAAGUGAUGAGACUUUGCUUUUGCGGGUGCGACGCUCUCAUAAAUGAAGAAUUUGCUAAUUAAGCGUCCCAUCAUUUCUUUAAUUGCAUCACCCUUGAAUAUAUCUUUGAUAUUUUUUUGUUUUGCUGCAGAAGACUUGUAAAGCGAAGGGGCAAUAGGGGGUGAUUGUUGCGAAUGUCGCAUACUAUGUGAUUUUCGCAUCAUCGACGGUAAUCCAGGAGACUGUGAAGACUCCCCCGUUUUGCGUUUGCUUCCUACAAUAUUCUCAUAUUGUUCAUGUUCCCAUUCUGAUGCUUUCGAGGCACGAACUGCAGAUCGAUAUGCAUCCCGCUCAUCUGGGUGCAUAUCUGCCGGAUACAUAUACACAUCUUCAUUCUCAACAUCUUCAUCAUCAUCAUCUUCAUCUACCAAAUGUGUAUGAUGAGUCCCCAUUGUGCCACGUAAUUGAGCACGAAUGUCUUCAAUAUCUGCAUUUUUCUUUGCUUUUGCUUUUGUUUUGUCAUGCACUAGGAAUCGUAUCUCUUCUUUCACUUCGGGCGGCACUCUCGGACACUUUUAAGUGUUGUUAUGCGGGUCUUUUUGCAUUAAAUGAAACUUGAAUCGCAUGAUGCCUCCAUUUUUCAUCACCAACCCACAGAAAUUACAAAUUGUUCCAUUUCGGUUACCCUCAAUCAGUAAACAAUACUUCCAAGCCGGAUCUCGCCCUGGUAGGGCAGAACCACCUUCACUAGCCAUGCUAAAUCUAUUGCAAUAAAAAUACACUUGAAUGUGAUUUCAAUGUAAACAAAAAUCAAGUCAAUAUUUAAAUUUAAAUAUAUGAGAAAUGUACAAAAUAAUGAUAAAGAAUGAACAUAGUUGAUAUUCCAUAUAUUUAAUUAAACUAAUUAAAUAAUUUAGCUAAGUUAAUUUUUUGAAUCUAAAUCUAAUUUUAUGAAAAAUUUACUAAAUUAAAAAUUAAUCAUAUUUAAUAUUCCAUAUAUAGUAGUUCAUGUUAAUUAAACUAAUUAAAUAAUUUAGCUAAGUUAAUUUUUUGAAUCUAAAUCUAAUUCUAUGAAAAAUUUACUAAAUUAAAAAUUAAUCAUAAUUGGAUAUGAAACUAAAUCAUGAUAAUCAUAAAAAUUGAACAUAUUUAAUAUUCCAUAUAUAGUAGUUCAUGUUAAUUAAAUUAAUUAAAUAAUUUAGCUAAGUUAAUUUUUUGAAUCUAAAUCUAAUUUUAUGAAAAAUUUACUAAAUUAAAAAUUAAUCAUAAUUGGAUAUGAAAUUAAAUCAUGAUAAUCAUAAAAAUUGAACAUAUUUAAUAUUCCAUAUAUAGUAGUUCAUGUUAAUUAAACUAAUUAAAUAAUUUAGCUAAGUUAAUUUUUUGAAUCUAAAUCUAAUUUUAUGAAAAAUUUACUAAAUUAAAAAUUAAUCAUAAUUGGAUAUGAAAUUAAAUCAUGAUAAUCAUAAAAAUUGAACAUAUUUAAUAUUCCAUAUAUAGUAGUUCAUGUUAAUUAAACUAAUUAAAUAAUUUAGCUAAGUUAAUUUUUUAAAUCUAGAUAUAAUUCUAUGAUAAAUUUACUAAAUUAAAAGCUAAUCAUAAUUGCAUAUGAAAAAAAAUCCCAAUAAUCAUAAAAAUGAACAUAUUUCAUAUUCAAAAUAUACUAGUUCAUGUUAAUUAAAUUAAUUAAAUAAUUUAGCAUGUUAAUUAAAUUAAUUAAAUGUGAAACUAAAUCACAAAUAAUCAUCUAAAAUAAACAUAUCAAUUUAUAAUUAAAUAAUCAAAUUAACCUAAGUCAAUUCAAUAAAAAUAUACAAAUUAAUUACUAUUGAAUAUAAAAAUAACAUUAAAUCAUCCAUAUUAAUUACAAUUGCAAACAAAAUUAAUUACAAUUUAAAAUAAACAUACCUUAAAAUUGGAGUAAUGAGAGAGCAAAUGAAGAAUGAAAGCAAAAAUGGGUGAAAUUGAUGGAAAAAUGGCUAUUUAUAGAAGAAAUUUGGGCUAAAAUAGCCGUUGGAACACCAAUUUACCGUUGAAAUUUAAAUCUGGUCGUUAGAUCACAAACUGGGACAAAUCUGGCCGUUGGAUCACAUUAUUAACGUUGGAAUCGCAUCUGGGCCGUUGGAUCAACGCGGGCGUGAUCUGGGCCGUCAGAUCGCGCUGGAGAGAGGAGCAAAAUAUCCCCAAAAAAUCAGCGAUUUUCCGCGGCCGCAGGCGAUUAUUUGGAGAAAUCGCCGAUUUAUCGAUUUUCACCGAUAUAUCGCCGAUUUAUAGUCGAUUUAUUGGUGAUUUUUUGCGAAAAAUCGUCCUCCGAUUUUUCUCUUGAAAAUGUCAUGUCGCCGCCUCCCGAUACAAGAUAUAUCGGCGAUAUUUCGCGAUAUUUUCCUCCAUGGUUCUGACUGAGUUUAUGUGAUGCUUCCCAUAUCACUUUUCCAUAAUGUUGACUCAUAUAUAUAUAUAUAUAUAUGUGUGUGUGUGUGUGUGUGUGUGUGUGUAUAAAAGUUACAACCAAAGAAGCUAAUUUUACUUUAAUGUUUUGUUUUUUUGAAUUUAUACACAUUGAAGGUAAUAAUGGAGUUAUAACCUUUAAUUUAUACUUUUAAUGAAAUUAAUUACAAUAAGACCAAACACAUUGCCAUUAAGUAUCCCUUCAUAAGAGAAGUAAUAGAAAAGAAAAACUGUAGGAAAAAAAAAAUUUAAUGUUUAUAAAUUAUUUUUAUAUACUAUUUCAAACUCAUUUAACUUAUUUUAAUAUCUUAUAUAAAGAUUAAAUUAUUUGAACAUAUAUAAGUUUCUAAUUAAUUUUAAUUAUAUUUUAUUUUCUUUGAUAUUACCAUUCAUUCAAUAGAGCAACAAUAGUGAUCUUGAAGAAAUUCAAAAUAGAAAAUAUAAAUUUUAUUUUAACUCUAUAUGUUAGUGGAUUAAAGUUAAAAAAUGAAGGCAAAGGAAGACUUGUCAAUUCUAUCAUGUUCCAAAGCUUGGUUGGGAAUUUGAUGUACUUAAUAGGAACAAGACCAUAUAUUACAUAUGCAAUAAACAAGAUUAGCAUCCCUUGGUAUCUUCUAUUAAACCAAUGGUCCAAUUGAUCUUGUGUAUUACACUAGUAGAGAAAUGGAAGGAAGCUUUGAUGAUAGCAAAAGUAAGCACAUUUGAUUGCUUACGUAUUCACUAUUAGAGGUGGGGCAUCUUUAGGGAGGUCAAAGAAGCAACCCAUUGUUGCUCUUUCUACUAAUGAAGUUGAAUACAUUGCAACUUUAGUUCUAGGAAGUUGUUGGCAUCUUAGAUCUAACCAACGAAAGCAAUAUCAAUUUUUCAAAAAAUUGAUUUUUAUGGUUAAAAUAUUAACCUUUAGGUUUAAAUAUUCCAAAACCUUAAAUUUUAAGUGUUGAAAACGACAUUGAAGUUGUUGGAAGUCUCAUAAACCCACGAUUUUCCUUCCGAUGACUCAACCUUGUUUUUGACACACUUCCAAUAUGAAGGAAAGGAGGAUAGAGGUUAUUUUCUUUCUCUCUGGAUGGUGAAAAAUAAAAAUGAUAGAAACCCUAACCCCUAUGAGGUAUUUAUAGGGUUUUUAAUUGAGUUUAAGUGACUUGAGUUCAUAUGGGUUUAGGUCACUUAAUCUAACCCAAAUUAGAUCCUAAUUAAUUGUUUAAUUGUAUAAGGUCUUUGGUAGAACAUCAAUCACGAGCAAAAAAAGCAUACACUUUUGUUUUGUCACAACAAUUCAACCAUUUUAAUUACUAAGGAGCCAAUAUUUCAUGGAGGAGUAUAUUCGAGAUCAGUUUCAUUUCCUAAUUAGAGAACUUGUCAAAGAAAGAGUAAUUCAUGUUAAAUAUUGCAAAGUUAAAGAACAGUAAGUAGGUAUUUUCACAUAUUAAGUCUCUCAAUGGAUAAAUCUCUAAGAGAAAUGUCUUAAAGGUGGGAAUGAAAACAAUUAUGUGACAACCAAAAAUUACAGCAGCUAAUUAUUAAAAGUUGUAAGCAAAAUUUGCACACAUUUAAAGGCUAGUUAAAGUUUUUAGUUAUGAUAUAAAGGUAUAUAGACAUGGACAUAUAAAAUUAUUUAUUUUUGAAGUCAUUGUUUAUCGAUUACAAAAGUAGUUGGAAAGAGAUGUGAAGAGAACUCCAUGGAAAAUUUUUACGAGUGACCAAUUGCUAUGAUUUCUUUCUUUUUUCUGCUAAUUGUUUAUUAAUUAAGCCAAAAAAUUAAGUAUUUACAUUAACUGCUCCCAAAAUUCUAUGAUUUCCAUAAUUUUGUAAUGGUUUGCCAAUAUACAAAUACCUUGUCUCUAGGCUUCAGUCCACUAGACUCCAAAAAGUUUACCAAUUCAAUUCAUCCAUUUUUUAAUUCUUCUCACAUCAUUUUCAGAUUAAAUACAGUAUCAUGGAAUUUAUUCAAAUUAUUAUUAUUCAGAGCCGACAGUAUCACUACACCCCAAAAGUAGUUCUUUAUUGUAAAAAUAAUGGUUUACUUUGAAGUCUCCCCAGAAGUUUCUGAUAAUUAAGUAACGGAUCACCUUAACCUUUGAAUUUUGGGGACACUUUCACACAUGGGGGAACCUUCUUCUUGGACUAUCAAUAUCAUCCUCUAGUUAUCACAUCUCCUCACCCCCAAAGCACUCCCUACAAACCAAUAAAUCCUUCUUCUCUUCCUCGUUUUAUCAUUUUCAAAAUCUUAACAUCAUGGGUGUUAUCACUUAUGAGAAUGAGAUCACUUCUUCAAUCCCCCCAGCCAAGAUGUUCAAGGCCUUUGUCCUUGAUGUCGACAAGCUCAUCCCUAAGAUCCUGCCACAAACCAUUAAGUGUGUUGAGAUCAUUGAAGGAGAUGGAGGGGCUGGAAUCAUCAAGAAGGUUACUUUUGGUGAAGGUUUUUGAUUGUUUGAAAUUAAUGAUUUUUAGCCCUAUUGUAUUAUUAUUGACUUCCUUUUUUUCCUUAAGAGACACCCACUUCAUAAAGUUAAGAACUAAUAAUAAGAAACAUUUCUGUAAAUGUAUAGAUCUAAUUCCAACCCUCCUGGAUGUCAUUACUGUUCAAAUUUUGGCUCUAUGCCAGACCAGUUAACCUUAUAUUAAGGCAAUUAAUAUCGGACAAGAGCUUGGUUUGAGAUCAACAAUCUGAUUAAUAAAUUCUUAAUUAAACCAAGAAUAUACUUUUCACGGAACCUACACCUCUUUGAGGUAACUAUUGGAUUAAUUAAGAAUCAAAAUGUUGAAGUUGUAGUUGCAAUGCUAGUUUUGCUCUUAAUUGAUGGCAGACUUCAAAGUUUCCAUCAGUACUUGUAUUGCUGCCACCCAGUGUUAUGGUGGUUGUUACUGGUAAAAUUGAUAUGCAAUUCAAGGUAAAUUCUAUGGGAAUGAUAAUUUGGUUGUUGGUUCUAAUUUCAACCAUCUUUUCCAAACUUUAGGAAAUUUGUAUUCAAAUUUGUAGAUUAAAAUUAUACAAGGUCACACCAUAUAAAAUAAUGUUUAAUGAAAAUAUGAUUUCCGUUAUAUAUAUUAAAAUAAUAUAACAAUGAGUACUCCUUUGACCGCUACUUCUAUUUCUUUUCUUGUUAAAUAUAAGAGUCAAACUUUAUUCUAAAACAGUCCCUUAAUAUAAUAAUUAAACCAUUACAACUUUGACAAGUAAGAUCAAUAUUAUAAUUAGAAAGUGUCAUUGAUACGUGUUUUCAAUACAAUCAAUAAUCUUUUGGACAGCUUUAAUAAGACCGUUCUCCUCAAACUUUUUUAUAAAGCAAUGAGCAUCAAUUAAUGGGUUAUAUAAUGACCUUCAUAGAUGACUUUUUUUAAGGCAUGUAUAUAUAUAUUUUUUGAAACAAAAAUUACAAGUUUAGAACAAAUUUAAAGAAUUCAAGGACAAAGUUGAAAAUGAUAUAGUUAUAUACAAAUAAUGGAAUUGGGUACUGUAGACCCCCAUUUAGGCAUGGGUCGCUUUUCUCUGUUUGUUUUUGCAGAUAACGUUUUUUUGCCAGGUGCCACUAUCCCAGCGGGCCACGUGUCACAUCCUUAGUGGCCAUGAGGAAUCAACCUCGCUUUUUGAAGCUGUAGAAGGAGUGAGACAGGAAAGGUGGCUGCAGGAAGAAAAAGGCAGACAAAAAGGUGGCUGCAGAAGGAGUUCAGCAGGAAAAAGGUGGUUGCAGCAGAGAACGUUGGGAAGGCAAAUUCAAGGCACAAAAAGAAAAAGGAGGAAAAAAAAAAAAGCACGGGAAGGUUCUUCUAGAGGGGGGGAAAGAGAAAAAGAGGAGAGAAAGAAGAGAGGAGCGAAGAGUUGUAGAGGAUUUUCUCUGGGAGAGUUUCCAUCGCCAAAGGUGAGCGAAAGGGAGAAACUCCUUGAGAGUGCUGAAGCUCGAUUUCUUUUUGCUUGAGGAACCAAGUAUGUAUACAACUUUCCUUCAUCUCUCAUUAUUCUAUGCUUUUCCUUAACAUUAUGCUGUUUGGGGUGGAUAUUGAAGGCCACUGGUUUGUUUGUUGAGAGAUAGUCCUGCAUUUGUGUUCGCCAUUGUUGAUCUUAAUUUGCUCUGCCCCUUUUGUGAUUAUGAAAUGCCCAGGAAUCACGCAUGUGUUUGCAUUUGAUGUGGUUUACCCACCUGCUCAGAAGAUUCAUUGAUGAUUCAUGAAAUGGAUUUUCUAAGAUUCUCCUUUAUUUAUUCAUCUUCUUUUGCGCUCUGUUUCUCUACUUCCCCUGUUUCUUGAUAUCUUUCCAUGGUACGCGUCCAUUUUCUCGUCCCUACUCGAAAGAGAUCCUAUAAAAUCUGGGGUAGUUUCCAUGGCGGUAAAGCUCACCUCAUUAGCAUCCCCAUACCCAUUUUCGUUUAUUAUUCAUCGUUUCAUCCAACAUGCCUAUGUCCCCACCCAUCAUUCCAUUCUUAUUCCCGUUUAUCUUCAUCACGCGUAAAUCCCCAUAUGUCUCAUACUUCUCCGCCGCCAUUUUUCUUCCGGACGCCCCUUGUAUCCGGAAAUCCUCCGCCGCCAUUUCCUCCAGACGCCCAUUGUAUCCGGAAUCCUCCGUCGCCAUUUCCUUUGGACGCCCCUUGUACCCGAAAAUCCUCCGCCGCCAUUUUCUCCGAACUCCCCUUGUACCCGAAAAUCCUCCGCCGCCAUUUCCUCCGGACGCCCCUUGUAUUCGGAAACCCUCCGUCGCCAUUUCCUCCAGACGUCCCUUGUACCCGGAAAUCCCCCGCCGUCUUUUCCUCUGGACGCCCAUCGCGUCAGGAAUUUCCCGCCGCCAUUUCCUCCGGACGCCCAUUGUAUCCGGAAUCCCCCGCCGCCAUUUACACCUAGACACCCUCGCGUCCAGAAUUCCCCGCCGCCAUUUUCCUCCGGACACCCUCACGUCCGGAAUCCCCCGCAGCCAUUUUCCUCCGGACACCCUCGCGUCCGGAACCCCCCGCCACCAUUUCCUCCGGACAUCCUCGCGUCCGGAACCCCCCGCCGCCAUUUUCCUCCGGACGCCCAUUGUAUCCGGAAUUCCCCCGCCGUCAUUUCCUCCGGACGCCCAUCGUGUCCAGAAUUCCUCAGCCGUCAUUUUCCCUCCGGACGCCCAUCGUGUCCGGAAUUCCUCCGCCGCCAUCUUCCCCGGGUACCUCGCUCCUGGAAUCCCAUUUUAUAACUUCUUCUAAGUCCUGGUAUUCAAAUGGUCCCAAUUGUUUCAUACUUCGUCCUUAGAAUUUCUUUUGGUUCCAUAAUCACAUUUUCAAUAGAGCUUUGCUGCCACUUUUAUUUCCGGCAAGCAAUUUUCAUACCUCCUCUGUUUUUAAAAUGUUUUGAAAUAAGCAAGGAAUCCAUUUCCGUAAUUCCAAAUAAUGGGGUUAUCGGAAUUGGUUCAAGCAAGAUGAAAUGGGCUUUGGUGGGGGCCCUACAUAUGUGCAUUCAUGACUGAUUGAUCGUCUGAUUGAUUUAUUUACCAUGCAUGAUCGUUUUGCUAUAUUCCAUAACAUGUAUAUAAUCAUUCUGUGUUUAUUCACUAACCUCAUUCCAUGAUAGUGCGUUGCUGAUUGUUGCCCAGGUACGCAUUCACUCAUUUUGCUCAUUCACCAUACAUAUUUUGAUUCUCAUAUGUGCAUGAUAGUUCCGGGUAUUCAUUGAUUUCCUAAUUAAUUGUCAUGAUUGCUUCAUUUUAUUAGUAGAGACUCAUUUUAGGGGCUUAGAGGGGUGCUACGGUCUUUACCGUACCUUCUCGAUGAGUAACCUGACCCCUGAACCCAAUCCGGUUUUUCGUAGACCGUCUUUUCCAAAAUAUAAAGUCACAUUUAGGGUUUUUCUUUCUUAUUUUGUUUACCCUUUUUAAAAAUAAAACAAAAAUAAGUGGCGACUCCAAGUCAUUUUCUUUUUCUUAAUCAACGAUAAAAUCAAUUUUUAUUUCAAAACAAAAAAAGCGAGCUCGCCAUUCGAGUGGGAAACUCAUCGAGCAAUUGAAAAUGUGGUGUCCACAGGUACAUAUAAUGAUAUAAUAGAAAAGAAUAAUCAAUAUCUUGCAUAAAUAUGUUAGAGUAUGUUGCAUAGCAAGAUUGUUUCAAAUAGAAUUAGGUUGAAUUAAUGAAAAUGACAAUUAAUAUGUUAUCGAUCACCAACAAAACUAGGGCUUGCUUCACUAUUUUAGAAAUUAUGGAAUAUAUCAAGUCCAAUGAGUCAUUUUCAAGUAAUUAUAUGUAUGUACACCAUGUGUUCAUGUUUGAUCAUUGUGGACCAAGUUUGAUAAGAAAUUGUUUCGCUGCAUAUUUGUGGGUUAUGAUGAUAAGAAAAUAUGGAGAUGUUGCAACCUUAUAAUAUAAGUGGUUGAUGUUAUAUACAAAGCAUGCUAUAUUUGCUAAAAACUUUAUUUUUGUGGACAAUAGUACUAAUAUACACCAAAGAUUAGAGAAAUUACAGGAUAGGAUUAGAGAAGAUCCUAAAGAGAGGAAGUCAUACUUGAGUUUAAAAGAUAGUGGAUUAGAAGUUAAUUUACCAAAGACUACUGGUAAAACUACAAGCACAUAACAUAUUUACAUAUAUCAUAGAACCACAUAGGAGUGCAACCAAAUCAACAAGAAGAAUCUAUAUUUCAACCUAUAUGAUCGAUUAAAUAACGAAAGCUCAAAUCAAGGUAUGCAAAUGUUGCCUUAGUUAAGCGAAACAUUAUAAAAAGUACAAAAAAGCAAAAGGUAAUAUUUUAAAUAAUAUAAUAGCAAAAACUAAUUAAAAAAAAAAAAGAACCAUAUAAACUUAGUGAUUAGAAUUUCAAUAAAAGCUUUAACAUAUAAAUACCAUAUUCAUCAAAAUAGUAGGAAGAGAAGUGUAGAUGGGGAGAAUUGAAGAAUCAACACUGAUCUGGGUUCCCAAUGACAGAACUGCAUGCUUUCAUCCAUUGCAAUCACCAGAGACGGCCAUAAUACCAAAGUCACCUUUUAUAGCUAAUCAACAAUAGGCACCAUACCUUUUUGCUAAUAGUUUUUGUCACAUAUCUUUGCAUCAUCAUUGGCCACUGCCAUCAUUUCCAAUCACAAAUUCUGUUCACCAUCUUUCAAUAGUUAUAAAAUAGGGUUGUGAUCCCAUUCUCCAUCAUCUUCCAUCUUUGUAACAACAUGAGAUCGUGGGGUGUGAGUGAGAGGUUCCAGAGAAAGCAAUGAAGUUGAGUAACUUGGGAAUUGUUUGGGAGUAUGAGCUAUAUCUUGGCAUAUAUAUAUUAAGAGCAUGUUUGGAAUUAGCUUUUAAGCAUUUGUAAAGAAGAUUGUAUGUCUUGGGCAUUGUUUGUGGGCUUUUUUUAGUGUAUUUGUAGUGGGAUAUUUUUGUGGGUUCAAUAUUUAGUGAUAUAUGGCAUAAAAUAUUUGAAUUCAUUUUUUUAUUGUUGUUUAUCAUCUUUAAAUUAUGGUUGCAUUAUAAUAUAUACUUGUGCAAAUUAAUUUUGUUAUUUCUCUAUAAUUUAGUAUUUGAGCCUACAUUCUCUACACUUCCCAUGCUAAAACCUCAAAAUACAACAUGACCAUGUACAAUUUAAACAGCAGCUAUAUAUGACCUUUUAAUUGAUGCAAUAUGGUGAAAACAAAAUUUCUCCAUUAAUUUCAACAAAUAAAAGAAAAAUAUUAAUACAUAUUUUAACUUUAAUUAACAAUUUGCACUCAAGAAUCACUUAAAAAUUAUUAAGCUUGUUUACCCAGAAUGAAAACUAGGACAGUGUAUUAAAAUUUAAAAAGUGAAAUAUGAAGGAACAGUAUUUAAGCCAUUCCUGCUCUGAAUUGAUCUGGUCUAAAAGCAUGGAAAUGGGCAUGUGAACCUAGUUCAAGAGGAAGAGCUUUAGUUUCCUUCUACUAGGAACCUAAAUUAUUGUUAAACAUUACAUCCUUGAAAAGCAAGGUUGCUAUUAUAAUAAGAAGAUGUCAAUUAUACAUCCAGGAACCCCAGGGACAACUUUCAACAAGGUUUUUUACUAAGCUAAAACCAUGUUGUAUUACAUAUAAAUAAAACUUUCCUAUUCAUAAUUUUGUCACCACAUGUUUACCACGACUCAACUCCAAGCUAAUUAGUUUCCAGAAGUUCUCUCAGACUGUUUACCAAUUGGUAAACAUUGAUAACAUCUAAUCUCUUGUAUUCUACAAAACCUUUUCUUUAUUCCAUGCUAUCCCCUUUUGUGUAUUUUACUUCUCCCUCACAUGAUUUUCAGAUAAGGACAUCAUGUGAUCUGUAUCAAUUUUUAUUUUUAUUUUUUCUUUUUCAGUUCAAUUGGCCGACCCAAAAAGAUUUAUUUAUUAGAAAAACUAUUGGAUUAUAUUGUAGUCUUCUCAAAGCAUCUGUUUUAAAAAUAAUGGAUUACUUCAACACUUUGAAUACUGGGGACAAUUUCACACACAGGAAGCUUCUUCUCAGUCUAUGAAUAUCAUCCCUGGUUCACACAUCACCCCACCCCAAAAAAUCCCAGCAAACCAAUGACUCAUCCUCCUCCUCCUUAAUUGGGUCAUUUUCUAGUUGUAGCAUCAUGGGUGUUAUCACUUAUGAGCAUGAGAUCACUUCUUCAAUCCCUCCGGCCAAGAUGUUCAAGGCCUUUAUCCUUGACUCUGAUAAACUUAUACCCAAGAUCCUUCCACAAGCAAUUAAGUCCACUGAGAUCAUUGAAGGAGACGGAGGGCCUGGAUCAAUCAAAAAGAUUACUUUUAGAGAAGGUUAAUCUGCAUUACUAGGCAUUGGAAUAUCACUAACAUUCUUAAUUUUUUUUGUCCUCAUCAUAUUCUGUUUUUAGCUUUUAAAAGCAGCAAAAUUAAGCACUUCAAAAUGCUAACCAGAUUUGCUGGUAUGAAGGGAGCCAAUUCAAUUAUGUAAAGCACAGGGUUGAUGGAAUAGACAAAGAGAACUUCACAUACACUUACAGUGUGAUUGAGGGUGAUGCUUUGAUGGGCACCCUUGAAUCAAUUUCUUAUGAGGUCAAGUUGGUGGCCUUCUCCUGAUGGAGGAUCCAUCUGCAAAAGCACCAGCAAGUACCAUACCAAAGGUGACUUUGAGAUCACAGAAGACCAAAUCAAGGCUGGCAAAGAGAAGGCUAUGGGCCUGUUCAAAGCUGUUGAAGCCUACCUCUUGGCACAUCCUGAUGCCUACUAAGUGAAAUGGGAUAUAUUGUGACAGUCUCGUGUUGUGUCUCAAUUUCAUCAGUUCAAGUUGUGUCCUUUAUAUAUAUUUCUUCUUUGUGGCCAUAAAAAAGAUACAGGCUUGAUGAUACGAGUGCUUGUAAUACUUGAUUGGAAUAAGGAGUCAUUGUUGUCAGAAUCUGUAAAAAAAACUAGAACUUGCAGAGAAAAAAUAAAUAAUUUGAGAGUUAAGAAUUGAAGGAAGGCACACACAUCUAUUUCACAAAUGAGAAUGCCUAUUUAUAGGCUUACAACCAAAUGGAAAUUGCAAAAAAAUCUCAGCUACUUUCAGAUUUUAUUGGCACUACUUCUACUAACUAAAAACAGAAAAUUAUGGAACAAGAAUCUGAUAUGAAACAAUAACAAAGACUAAGUCUAACUAGGACUUUUUCAAACUUCAGAGGCAAACUCUCAUGAGUUCUAAUACUCCUCCUUGAGAUUUGCCUUGGACAUGCCAAGCUUCAACCUUAGGAACUCCAGCCUUGAUUUAGGAAGUGCCUUAGUCAUUAUGUCAGCAAGUUGCACAUCAGUUGAGCAAUAAUGCAACUUGACAGGUGAAUUCUUUUCAGCUUCCCUUAUAGAAUGAAAUUUACAUUUAUGUGUUUGGUCCUACCAUGUUGGACAGGAUUUUGAGCAAUGGCAAUGGCUGACUUUUUGUCAUAGUAAAGCUCUGUUGGUGAGCUUUGUUCCUGGCCUAGAUCAGCAAGCAAUUUCCUUAACCAUAUUCCUUGAUUUGCAGCAGCUGCUAAGGAGAUAUACUCAGUUGAUUGUGCCACUACUUCUUGCUUUCUUGAAUUCCAGCAAACGACACCUGAAUCGAUUGUAAAUACAUAACUUGAAGUGCUCUUCAUGUCAUCAACACUUCCUGCCCAAUUACUAUCAGCAUAGCCAUCUAGCUUAACUUCUCUUGUCUUUAAAUACCAGAUGUCAAGAUUUGUUGUACCUCUAACAUACUUCAGCACCCUUUUUGCGACUCCCAUGUGAACAUUGCUAGGUGAACUCAUGAAUCUUGAAAGCAAACCAGCUGGAAACAUUAAGUCAGGUUUGGUUGUUGUCAAGUAUAGUAGGUUGCCUACCAAGCUUCUAUAUGCAAAGGGUUCCUUAAGUUUCUCACCAUCAUUCUUUGAAAUUUUCUCAUUUUGUGCCAACGGAGUUGCUACUUCUUUACAUGAUUCUAGCUUGAAUUUCUUGAGAAUAUCAACAACAUAUUUUCUCUGUGAAAUGAAGAUACCCGAGCUGCAUUGAUAUAUUUUCAUUCCAAGGAAGUAGUUCGUGAUGCCAAGGUCAGACAUCUCAAAUACAUCUUGCAUUUCCAUUUUGAACUCAGCCAGCAAUCGUACAUUGCUUCUAGUCACUAGCAUGUCAUCAACAUAAAGUGACACUACCAAUUGCAAACCAUCCUCAUUUUGUUUCAAAUACAAAGUAACUUCAUUUUCACUCCUCCUAAAUCUAAGUUGGAUCAGGUGAGAGUCAAUUUUGCUAUACCAGACCCUUGGUGCUUGCUUCAAACCAUAUAGAGCCUUUUGCAGCUUGUACACUUUGUGUUCAUGCCCAGUAACCUCAUAGCCUUCUGGUUGUUGAACAUAAAUUUCUUCAAGAAGUCUACCAUUUAGAAAAGCUGACUUGACAUCUAAAUGGUACACUUUCCAUCCCAUUUGACCAGCAAGUGCAAGUAGCACCCUUAUAGUGUCAUGUUUGGCUACUGGUGCAAAUGUAUCACCAUAGUCCACUCCAGCAACUUGAGCAAAACCCUUCACAACCAAUCUAGCCUUGUGCUUGAAGAUUGAACCAUCCGAAUUGAAUUUGGUUCUAAAAACCCAUUUUACACCAAUUGUCUUCUUAGCUUCAGGUAAUUUUUGUCAACUUCCAAGUUCCAUUUCUUUCAAUAACAUCAAUUUUAGCUUUCAUAGCCUCAAUCCAUUAUGGAAAUCUUGUAGCUUCUAUGUAACAUGUAGGCUUAGCAUGUACAAGAUUGCACCUCUCAUACACAUUAGAUAAUGGCCUUACCUUAAGCACUGGUGUGCCUGAAGUUGCUUCAAUACUUGUACUUUCUACUACUGGUUCAAGAAUAGAUGGAGUGGUUUGAUCACAUUUAUGGACUUUCUUCAAGUCCCAAUUCUAGUAUGAAUUUUCAUCAAAGUGCACAUCUCUACUUAUCACAAUUUUCAUUCUACUCAAGCUAUAAAUUCUAUAACCUUUUGAUUCUACUGCAUACCCAACAAAAACACCUUUCUCAACUCUUUCAUCAAGCUUACCUCUCUUGAUAAAUGGCACAUGAAGGUAACACAAUGAACCAAACACUUUCAAGUGCUUGACAAAUGGUUUUACACCAGACCAUGCCUCUAUUGGUGUUUUGCUCUGAACAGACUUAGUCGGUAGUCUGUUAAGUAAAUAUACUGAGGUGUUAACUGCUUCAGCCCAUAGAAGCUUUGGUAGUUUCUUCUCAAAUAGCAUGCACCUUGUCAUCUCCAUUACCGUUCUGUUCUUCCUCUCAAAGACUCUAUUAUGUUGCUGUGAGUAUGGAGUUGUCAGCUGGUGUACAAUUCCAUCUUCUUGACAAAAAACAUUGAUCUCUUUUGAGGUAUAUUCACCUCCAUUAUCAGUUCUGAGCACCUUAACCUUUUGGCCACUUUGAGUUUCAACCAUUUUCUUGAAGCUUUUGAACACAUAGAGCACUAGUGAUUUGGUUUUUAGAAAAUAAACCCAAGUCAUUCUACUGAAAGCAUCAAUAAAUAGUGCAAAAUAAACAUAUUUGCUCAAUGAGGCUAUCCUCAUUGGUCCACAAAUAUCUUAAUGAACUAAUUCCAUCUUGUGAGUAGCUCUCUUGGACAUAUUUUGAGGGAAUGAUUUGCGAUGUUGCUUCCCUAGCUCACAACUUUCACAAGUUUGAGCAUUAACUAUGAUUUCAGGCAUGUCUUCAACCAUACCAGCUUCUUGCAUGAACUUCAAUGACUUCAAGUUGAAAUGACCAUAUCUUUUGUGCCAAACAACACUCUCAUCAAUCUUGGCACUAAAGACAUGACCUUCAACUAAAUCAAGCUUCAAAUAAAAGCUAUUUCCAUUCAUUUUAAUUUUUGCUAUCUCUAUUCCACGUACAUCAGUGAUAAACCAAAAAUUUUCUUUAAAAAAGACUACAUAUCCAUUUCUUAGCAUUUGUGUAACACUAAGAAGAUUUUGAUCUAGUUCUGAAAUGUAAAGAACAUUAGUGACAAUUUUUGUACCUCUCUUGGUGCUAAUAGCAAUUGUCUUUUUUCUUUGGCAUGCACAACUUCACCAUUUCCCAACUUGACCUUUGGUUGAACUGAUCUGUCAAUGGAGGUAAAAAUUGAUAGAUGUUUGGUCAUGUGACUGGUGCAACCAUUGUCAAUGAGCCAAGUAUUCAGUUCAUGAGAACUGAGGGCUUGUGAUGCCAUAAAUAAAUGCUCAUCAUCUUUUUUGUCUUCUUCAAUCACAUUUGCAUGUUGUUGUGUUUGCUGCUAAGAUAGUUUUUUCUUGGCUUUGCAAUACUUCUCACUGUGGCCAAGUUUAUUGUAGAAAUUACAAUUAAAAAGAGGUUUACCUUUGUACCAACAAUCUUUCUCAACAUGGUUGGUUCUGCUGCAAUGAGAGCAAGACGAAAAGUUUCCUUUUCUUGAAGAUCCUUCAACUUUCCUUUUGUUGUUCUUGAAGAACUUAUUUCCUUGCAAGUUUCUAGAACUCUUUCCCUUAUGAUUUGCUUGAAAAACACCUUCAGUAGCUUCAUCACCUCUCAUUAAGACCCUUUGCUCCUGUGCAUGAAGCUUGUUGGUUAACUCUGCAAUUGUGAGACUUUACAAGUCACAAGACUUUUCAAUUGCAGAGAUCUUGGCUUCAAACUUUUGAGGCACUGAAACCAUGAUCUUUUCUACCACAUUUUGAUUUGUAAAUGCCUCACCAAGAAGCUUCAUUUGGUUUACAACAUCCAUUAACCUGCUAGAAUAAUCUUUCACAGAUUCGUUGUUUUUCAUCUUCAUCAAUUCAAACUCUCUCUUCAAUGUGAGGAGCCUGAUAGUUUUGACUCUGUCACUGUCCUCAAAUUCACCUUGGAGCUUGUCCCAUACCUAUUUAGGUGUUUCCAAGUCCAUGGUUUUGGUGAAGAUGUGGUCUGCAAGUCCUGAAUGUAGGCAGGUGAUGGCUUUGUCUUUCUUGAGUUUUUCCUCCUCAUAUGCUUUCAUCUGAGCAAUUGUAGGAUUUGCUCCCAAUGGUGGUGGAUCAGCUUCAAACACCACAACAUUCCACAAACCUUGAGACCUUAAGUAAAACCUCAUCUUGACAGCCCAAAUGUGAUAAUGUUCACCAUUAAACACUGGAAUAACAAAGGAAGUACUACUGGAAGUAGACAUGUUUGCACCACAACUGCCUGAAAAAAAUAAAUCACUUAACCUCCCUGUGUUUAGCACUCAAAACACUCAAAGAAACUUUGCCUCACAACCUGUAGGAACAGGGCUUUGAUACCAUUGUCAGAAUCUAUAAAAAAAAACUAGAACUUGCAAAGAAAAAAUUAAUAAUUUGAGAGUUAAGAAUUGAAAGAAGGCACACACAUCUAUUUCACAAAUGAGAAUGCCUAUUUAUAGGCUUACAACCAAACGGAAAUUGCAAAAAAAUCUCAGCUACUUUCAGAUUUUAUUGGCACUACUUUUACUAAUUGAAAACAUAAAAUUAUGAAGCAAGAAUAUGAUAUGAAACAAUAACAAAGACCAAGUCUAACUAAGACUUUUUCAAACUUCAGAGGCAAACUCUCAUUAGUUCUAACAAUUGUUCUAUUAUUUUAAUAAACAUAGUGGAAAUCAUAUUUUAUUAAGCAAUAGAUGAGUUCUGGUAUGAUUUUAGUGUUGCUUUUAAUCUUCAAAUUUCCACAAAGAUCUGAUAAAGUUUGGAUAUGAUGGUCUAAUUGGGAACAAACAACCAAAGUAUUUAUUAGACUUGAAUUUACCACAUAUGCCGGUGUUCAUGGCUCAUUGAAUAGCUUGUUCAUGAAAACAGUUUCCUAUGGAAUAAGAUUAAGUUUGGCAAAUUUUAUUAUUACGAAUGGUGGUAACAAAUAGGUAGUUAUAUAUUAACUAGAGACAAUCUGUAGUUUCAUUUCUAAAAAUUAUUCAAUGUAAUUAGUUGACUAUUUAACUUACUAAUUAGAGUAAUUAACUUGUUCUCCCAUGGGCCAUGAAGUUGGUAGAUUUUGCCUCAAUUCUUACUUCUAAUUUAAUAUAAAAUAUUAUAAAAGGAAAGUUUAUUUAGUGAGUAAAGAUGAAAGAGAAACUAUAAAUUAAGCCCUACCGAUGACUUGGGUGGUCGAUGACUUGGGUGGUGGAUUAAUUGCCCAAAGUAAUUAAAUUCACAUAUUAUGUACUUAAGACUUUGACUCUCUCUCCUUGAACCUUUUUGAUAAAGUAUCAAUCAAUGGAAGUCAUUGCAUAGUGACAUUGAUAUAUAGAUGAUUUUUCAAAUAUGCAUAGGUGUAAUUUCUAAAAACAAAAAUAAAAAAUUUUGAAUACAUUCAAAGAAUUCAAGAGAAAAGUUGAAAGUGAAGUUAAAACCAUCAUCAUUGGUUGCAGCCAUUGCCCUUCAUUUCUAACUAUAACCUUUUUCCACCCUCUAAGCUUCUAGUAAUUUUAAUACAAGUGUGUGAUUUCAUUCUCCAUGUUUGCAACAACACGAGAUCAUGGGGUUUGAGUGAGGAGUGUCAAAGAAGGCAAAGAAGCAAAGUUGCUUGGGGAGCGUUUGGGGAGAAAAGAGUUCUUUUGAGAGUUACUUUUUAAGCAUUUUUUGAGUAGGUAAUUGAUAUUCUUGGGCCUUGUUUGUAGACAUUGUUAGUGUAUUUUUGGUGUGAUAUUUCUAUGGGCCUUUUUUAUGGGUUCAAACAUGUGAUACAUGGCUUAUAGUAUUUGAAUUCAUUUUUUUAUGGUUGUUUAUAAUCUUUAAAUUAUGGUUGCAUUUAUAAUAUUUAUGCAAACUACCCUAUGAUUUACCAUUUGAGCCUACAGAUAUUCUCAACACUUCUAGUACAAGAAAGUCAAAUGCACAUUAAUAUGACAUGUGAACAUGAUAUAUUAAAAAUUAAAAUGUGAAAUAUAAAGGAAUAUCUAUAAGCCAUUGCGACCUGAAUUGUGGUUGAAGAAAAGAUAAAAAUGGGCAUGUGAACAUAUAGUUGAAAGGAAAGAGUUUUCCUUUGAUAAAUGACCUAAAUUAAACCUUGACAAGCAAAGCUAUUAUAAUAAGAAGAGGUUAAUAAUACAUCCAAGAACCUUAGGGCCAAUUUUCAACAAUGUGACUCUCCCUCAAGCACCUUUGAUUUUUACUAAGCCAAAAGCAUAUGCUUAUUAAGUCCAACUUCCAUAUCCUUAAUUUUGUCCCUCCGCGGGUAUUAAAAUUUAAUUAUACCAAAUCAUUUCACGAGAUCCAUUUUUUUGUAUUUUACUUCUCCCUCUUAUGAUUUGUAGAUUGCUUAUUUAUCAGGAUAUCAUGUGAUCUGUCUCAUUUUACCUUUUUUUUUCAGUGCAUUGGACAUCAAGACUAGAUCAUCAUUUGAAUUCAAAUUUGGCAGCCUGCCCUGACACGAAAAGAUUUAUUUAUUAGAAAAAAUAUAUAUAAUGGAUUACAUUAUAGUUUUAUGAGAAGCAUCUGUUUUUUAAAUGACGGAUUGCCUCAACACUUGGAAUACUGGAGGGCACUUUCAAACAUAGUAAUCUUCCCCCAAGUCUAUAAAUAUCAUCCCUGGUUCACACAUCUCCCCCACCCCAAAACUAUCCCAACAAACCAGUCACUCCUCUUGCUCCUCCUUUGAUCCCCUCUCAAACUCUAGCAUCAUGGGUGUUAUCAGUUAUGAGCAUGAGAUCAUUUCUUCAAUCCCACCAGCCAAGAUUUUCAAGGCCUUUAUCCUUGACUCUGAUAACCUCAUUCCCAAGGUCCUUCCUCAAGCCAUAAAGUGCGUUGAAAUAAUUGAAGGAGAUGGAGGGCCUGGAUCCAUCAAGAAGAUUACUUUUGGAGAAGGUUAAUCUGAAUUAUAAUUUCUAGAGAUUGAAUCACUAACAUUCUAAAUUUUUUUGUCCUCAAUAUUCUGUUUUUAGCUUUUAAAAGCAGCAAAGGCACUUCAAAAUACUAACCAAACUUGUUGAUAUAUAUGCAGGGAGCCAAUUCAAUUAUGUGAAGCACAGGGUUGAUGGAAUAGACAAAGAGAACUUCACAUACAGUUACAGUGUGAUUGAGGGAGAUGCUUUGAUGGGCACCCUUGAAUCAAUUUCUUAUGAGGUCAAGUUGGUGGCUUCUCCCAGUGGAGGAUCCAUCUGCAAGAGCACUAGCAAGUACCAUACCAAAGGUGACUUUGAGAUCACAGAAGACCAAAUUAAGGCUGGCAAAGAGAAGGCUUUGGGCCUGUUCAAGGCUGUUGAAGCCUAUCUCUUGGCAAAUCCAGAUGCCUAUUAAGAAACUCCUUUGUCUCAUAUCAUCAGUUAAAGUUGUGGGUUGGGUUUCAUAUAUAUUUCUCCGACGUCCGGCUUGAAAUAAAAAGAGUUUCCUGUGUGUAAUCCUUGGACUUGUAAUAUUUAACUCCAAAGAAGGAAAGACGCAUGAUUUUAAUAAAUAUAAAGAAAUGAUCAUCUUGUUUUAUUAAGUUUGAUUAUAGUUUUUGUUGGAUUGUGAAACCUUAAUCAAUUUUGUUGCAUUUUGUUGGGAAUACCGGGAUCGAGUUGUCUGAUCAAGUUGCAAGGAUGGAGUUCCUCACUAAACUCAAAAUAUCAACAAAAAAAAAAAAAAAUGGGAUAAAAUCAAAUUUCAUAUUUUUCUUUAUUUAUCAUAAGAAGUACACAAAAAAACCGAUAUAUCUAGAAUUAUUAAAAUAUAUAUAUAUAUAUAUAUAUAUGUUUUUUUAUGAGAGAAGAAAAAAAAGAGAAAAAUAACUUUGUAUUUUCAUUUUUUUUCCUUUAUUUUUUUUCUUUUGUAAAGUUAUGCUCAAAUUUUCUAUGAUACUAACAGAACCUAUGAUUUUUCAUAUAACUUUCACUUUCUUGAAAAUGUUAUCAUUAUUAUGGUCUAAGAUUAAUAUCAUAUGGUUUCUGAUUUUAGAAACUUAAAAGUUAUUUUUUUUUUAUAUAGGCUUGAUUCUAGAAACUUAAAUAUAGAGAAGAAAAUGAUUCAUUUCUUAUAUACUAUUACGCCUAUGAACUUAACUAGUAAUAAGAUAACUUUCCCCAAUUAAUUAAGAGCAAUACUUAGUAAAUUAUUUUAAUUCCAAUUAAUAAAAACUCAAUUGCUCUCAUAAAAUUAAAGGUUUAUGAGACAAUGAAAAAACAAAUAAAAUUUUAAAAAUGUCCUCAAAUGAUAUAAGAGGUCCAAUAUUUUUAUUAAAAUGUAUUUAUAGAGAAUUAAUUAUAUUUAAAUAUAAUAAAAAAAAAGGUUUAAAAUAUUUUUAGUUUAAAAGUAAUUUUGAAAUUUUAUCAAACACCUAAUUUGAACAUAACAAAGACAUCAAAUAAUAAAAAAAUUAUUUAAUUAUUAAUCUUGACGCUAAUGAUUGAAAUAAGUAGCUUAGAAAAAAUUCUUAACAUCCUCUUCCUUCACCACUAAGGUCACCAUAAUUAGUAAAAAAAGUUAAAUAUAAAAGGUCACUUUCCACUGAUAUGUUAUUGUUUACUGAGUCAAAAACUUCUCCCUUACAAGUAGAUUUAAACUCAAAGAUUCAUGGUUUUUGCCCCUUGUUCUAAGUCAAGUCCUCACUAUUUCAUUCAAAAUUGAGAAAGAUCCAUAGUUUUGUCACUGGUUCCGUAAUUUUUCUCACUCUUAACUUUGAUCCAAUUUUUUGUUUUCCAUUUACACUUCCUGUGUCAUCUUUAAGAUCACUCAAUCUCUAUUCCCUUUGGCUGGUGCUUUGAAUAUCAGGGUCAAGAGUCUAUACCCGACCCAAUUUGUAAAACCUGGUCCCACUCAAAAAUAAAACAAAAUUAAGGUUUUUUAUUGAGAAUAAUAAUGGACUCAUUGGAGUUUUCUUUAAGGCAUCUGCUGAGAAAAAAAGGAUAUACCACCCCCUACAUCAAACAUGUGAAGCUUGAACUCAAUCUAUAAAUACCACCCCCUACUUCUCACUUCUCUUCACCCCAAACCCACUCUUUACGUACCAAUCAAUCCUCGUCCUCCUCCUUUGUUCAUUAAUUCAGACACUCUAGCAUCAUGGGUGCUAUCACUUAUGAAAUGGAGGUCACCUCUUCAAUCCCUCCGGCCAAGAUGUUCAAGGCUUUUGUCCUUGAUGUUGAUAACCUCAUCCCUAAGGUCCUUCCACAAGCCAUUAAGUGCGUCGAAAUAAUUGAAGGAGAUGGAGGGCCAGGAACGAUCAAGAAGAUUAAUUUCGGUGAAGGUUAGCAUGCGUUACUACUAUUUUAUUAGUACCUUUUUUUUUUUUGUAUUUUUAUGUUUAUGCUUUUAAAAACAAUAGAAGUACUUAUUUAUAUGAUUUGUUAUAUAUGUUAGCAAAUAGGGUAAGCAGUGCUUUUUUUUUUUCCUUAACUCGUUGGUAUGCUGCAGGCAGCCAAUUCAACUACGUGAAGCACUGGAUCGAUUCAUUGGACAAAGAGAAUUUCACAUACUGUUACACCAUAAUUGAAGGAGAUGCUUUGAUGGACAACCUUGAGUCAAUCUAUUAUGAGGUGAAGCUGGUGGCCUCUCCUGAUGGAGGAUCCAUCUGCAAGAACAUCAGCAAGUACCAUACCAAAGGCGACAUCCAGAUCACAGAAGAUCAAAUCAAGGCUGGCAAAGAGAAGGCUAUGGGCAUGUUCAAGGCCAUUGAAGCCUAUCUCUUGGCCAAUCCUGAUGCCUAUUAAGUAAAAUUGACCGUAUUGAGAUUAUCUUUAAUUUGUGUCAUUCCUUCAUAUACAUCAGUUAAAAGGCUUGGCUUUGAUAUAAAUCCUACCUUGUGGCUAAAACCCUCCGGCUUGGUAAUAAGAGUUUUGUGGGUGUGUGAUUAUUGAACUUGGCUUGUAAUAUUUGAUUGGAAUGAAGAGCAUUGGUUGUUGUAUGGAUCUAAUAAAUACAAUGAAGAUCAACUUUUCAUUAAACCAGUAACUGGGCAUGAUUCAGGAAGAUGACCAAAAUAUUUAUUCAUACUUGAAUUUGGCUUCAAACCCAAUAAGGAAAAUAUCUAUAUAUAUAUAUAUAUAUUAAAAUUUAUUCUUAAUUAAUUGAUUAUGUGAUUAAUUAAAAUUAUGUAUUUGCUUAGUCUAUUGGACUUUUUCUGCAACUAGUUCCAAAUUAAAAUAUAAAUCUGAACAGCCAAAAGGGUGGAUAGAAUUUUUGGCAGUCUUGCUUUGUAAUAUAGAGGAAAGAACCGAGGGAGAAUUUACUCAUCCAGAGUCAACCAGUGAAGAAAAGCACAAGCGACUACACUUCUUUGAAGGUCUCUUGAUAUGAAGUGUGAACAACUUGAAAGGUGGAUCCUUCAUUAGUUUCACUAAUAUCUUUUACUGCAUAAUACAAGUUACUUGAACAUAUAAAAAUCAUCAAAUAAAUUCAAUAAUUAUUAAAAACAUAGAAUGUAAUUAUUCCACUUUAAACAAUAGAAAUAUGAAAAGAGUGAACUUGUCAUGCGAUUGGGAAGGAUAUCAAAGACUGGUUGAAGGAUUUAUUGAUGAUUGAAGUUGUAAUGGUCACUCCCUUUUAUAUAGGUAUUACCUAUUUUGAAAUAAGGUUCCCAUAAUUUUAAAACGAUAUAUAAUGAUGGAAUGUCUUCUCCUUAACCAAUGUAGAUUAUCAUAAUCACCUUAAUACAGAUAGGACCUUUACAUCAUGUCCCAUGGAAUUGUAAAGAUCAGUCAUUAUAUUUACCUUAGAUUUAAGGAUUAGUUCUGACACUAUUUUGUAACAACCUGUUCCCCAACUUGGUAUGAAAAUCAACGUGUUUUUGACUAACUGUAAUAUCUCACAUCCACUAAGAAAAGAGAUUCCUAAACCUAUAAAUCUGGAGGGUUAUCUUGAUUUUGGAGAUAUGUGUUUUAAGUAUAUCAUUAUCACUUGUAAAUUUUAAGAAGCACGGAGAGGUCUCUGACAUUGCCAAAAAUCUCUGCUGGCAGUUUUGAAUAUACACCACAUACAUUAACUGUUGACUUUGUGUUUCAGAUGGAGCUUAUCCUUUGAUAAGGACUUACAUAUUUAAUAUACUAGAUCUAUAAUAAUUAGAAUGCAAUAACAUAUAUUGAAGGCCCCCUUGUGGGCUUCUAUCCUUGUUAAUAUAAGGUGAAGACUUUGUGUUACAAACUGGGCAUGGGUAAAUAUCUUCGAUCUGUCCUUCUUAGCUAGACCUUAAAUGCAAUAGGCCCUAUCAUAUAUAUAUAUAUAUACACCCAGAAAUGAAGAUGCGCCCAUUGGUGUUGGGUCAGUUUGUGUCUAUCCCAGUUUGGAGAAUAUUUCUGUUGGGUGAAAUGGGUGGCCACCCCAAAUGACUAGCUUCGAAAAUAUCUCCUUGACUGAAUCUCCAGAUCUCAAAGAGACAUCCGCAGGAGUGAAGGUGGAAGUAGAAAAUGAAAGAUUUAAGGCAACAGAAGGGCAUGGACCUUGUUAGAAAAUUAAAUUCUACCACAUACUUCGGCUAUUUACGAGAGCAGUUCCUUUGUUUGUAAUCUUCCUAAAAAAAUUGAAUUGAGAUGCAGCCAUUCCACAAGAAGCUAGUAACAAAGAACAAUUUAUCUUAAUACAUUGAUCAUUAUGAUGAUGACCCCCAUAGCAUUAUUUUUCUUUCUUUCCUUUUUUUUUUUUUUUUUUUUUUUUUUUUUUUUUUUGGUGGUACACAUAGAAGACCAAUCUUCCAUUAUUUAAUUUGUUGGUUGGAAGCAGUAUAGAUCUCCAACGACCUCAAUUAAAAUCAGCUACAAAAGUGACAUUGAAGAUAGAGGUGUAAGCCUCUUGAAUAUGUCACACUAUGCAUCAUCUUCUGGCAUUUUUGUUGGUGUCUCUUGCCUUCUGAUAUUCUUACUUUUAACUUAAUUACGACUUAGAUUAAUAUACUUUUGUUGGUUCUCUUCGAAUUAAGGCACCCUUAAAUAUCCCAUGAAAUUUAAUCUACAGGUAAGGUUGAGAAUAUUCUGAGCAUAUUUGGAACUAAAUGUCUUGUAUUCUUCUUUCUAAACCAUUCUCAGGAUACUAUGCUUUCUCUGGCAAGUAAAAACAAUGGAAAUCAUUUGCAUUUUCUGGCUCAGUUUCAAUUCAAAGAUCAGAUAAAAAUAUUUUGGUAGUUCAAUUUUUUGUGCUUUAUCAGUCAAAGGACAAACUGUACCUAAAUUCCCAGUCAUGACUUGCAGUAACUGAGACAUAGGUCCUUAGAACUGAUCCACCAUACUGAUAUGCACCUAAAAAUGAUGGCUUUCUAUAAGGUAUUUCAUGGUAAUUAAUGCAGAGCAUUUACGCAUCCAUUUCUCAAUCUACAAAUACCACCUCUAGUAGUCUUCACCAUCUCACUCACUCCAAAGUUUUCCAAUUUCAAUUGAUCCACCUCCUUGGUUCUCCCUCUGAUCACUUCCAAGACCAUAAGGAGAACAUGGGUGUUGUCACUUACACUGAUGAGCUCACUAGUCCUGUCCCUGCACCACGACUCUUCAAGGCCCUGAUCCUUGAGGCUGACUCCCUUUUGCCCAAGAUCGUCCCUCAGGCCAUUAAAAGUAUCGAAACAGUGGAAGGAAAUGGAGGCCCUGGAACCAUCAAGCAGCUGAACUUUGCUGAAGGCUAGCUACUUUACAUAAAUUUUCACUAGCAUAUGGUCUUAAUUUACUCACAUAUAUAAAAUUGUACUAACCAAAGAUGUUUGAAUUUUUGCUCUCUAUGCAGGUAGCCAAUUCAAAUAUGUGAAGCAUAGGAUUGAUGAACUAGACAAAGAGAAGAUGAUCUACAAGUAUACUUUGAUUGAAGGUGAUGCUUUGAUGGACAAGAUUGAAUAUAUAAGUUACGAGAUUUCAUUUGAGGCCAGUCCUGAUGGGGGAUGCAAGAGCAAGAAUGUGAGCGUGUAUCAUUCCAAACCCGGUGUGGAGAUCAAAGAAGAGGAAAUCAAGGAUGGCAAAGAAAAGGCAGCAGCUGUCUUCAAGGCUGUGGAAGCCUACCUCUUAGCUAAUCCUGAUGCCUGAGCCUAAUGCAUCCUGUUGAGAGUUUCGAACCUGUAUUGCUUCUCCUCCACUUAAUCACUUGUUGCUUGCUGCCUUUUUGUUUUCCUUCCACCAAAUCUGCCACUCUGGCCUGAUAAAUAAAAGCUCUAUCAACCUGAUAUUCAAAUUUGAUUUGCUCCAUAUUGAUAAUUUUGAUCUACUAUUCUUUCUUGUUGGACUGAACUCUAGAAAGUUUUAAUUAGAAAGUUCGAAUUUAAUUAAAACUGCUAAGAAUGUGUACCUUUCUUUCACAGCUUUAACAUAUCAGAGAAGAAUCUAAAGUAUGACUCGUGAAUCUAACUUUGCCUUACUGUUCCAAGACAUAAUUAGGAUAGUGAUGAAUUGUCAAGCCCUUUAGCUUCUAAAGUAGUAUAGAAAACUUGAGCAUUUUCUCUAUUCCACCACUUGGCUGAGAUUAUCAUACACUUCCUGAGUCCUCAUAAUACUAAUGACCAGAUGGAAUUAAUCCCUUCAUAUAUAUGUAGAUCUGUGCUGUAUCUAUUUUACAACAUGAAUCAAUCCAGAAGAACACGUCACAUUCCUGAAAAUCCAGACCUCAUAGAGCAGGAUUGAUUCAAUUGAUUAGAGGACUGCUAUUAUGUCUUAACGGAAGCCAUUACCAGCUAGAGAACUGGUUACCUCACCAAAAACAUUAAGCCUGUGAUGGCCACCAGAUACUCUGUCCCGUAGGAAACAUACUCCAAACUAUGGCCAUGUUUUCUACUAAUCUAGUGAAACUUUUUUUCUUUUUUUGAGAAAAGAAAUCAACUAGAAAAGACAAAAUCUGUGCACUGAUUUGAUGAUGGUGACUUUUGACAUAAUUCGGGCCACUAUUCCCAACUGUUUCCUCAGGGCCAUGAACUGAUAAAUUGUGGAUUCACAUGCCUGUUUAAUUGCAACACCAAACACAUCCCAAUUGUAUUAAUCACAAGGGUCCACAUCCUUUUCCAUUAAUAUUCCAGGGAAUACAUAGACCAUUCAAGCCUGUGAGCUAUGUGAGCCCUACAGUGUGAACUUCCCUAUUUUGCCUAUUUUCUCAAGAACAGGAUGCUUCAUUGUAAUUUAUGGAUUAUGGUGCUAAGCAAGUCCAUAAUACUAGAAGAUAACAUGGGACUUGAGGAAUCUAUGCUUCAUAAUGAUUACAAAGGAAAUCCAUUAAUUCUAUUACUGUAAAAAAGUUCAGCUUGUCUCUGGGUUCAUCUAUUAGUUAUAUUUUCAGCCUAAAAAAUGGACAUGACCUGUUCUUUAAUGUUUCUUUAGGCUCUCUCAUUGCUGUCCUGAAUGAAAUUGAUUUUCUAGGUAUUCUUCAAAUUACAGUUAUCACAAAAGGGAGGAUAAAAGGAAUGGAAGAAAAUCACAAGGAAGAUAAAGCAAAACUUCUUCAGGAAGGCUUGUGGCAUAGACUGCCUAGAAGCAAAGAAAAUUAUCCAUAAAAUCUGUGAGACUUGAGUCUAUCUCUAUGCCGGUCUUCUUGGCUCAAAUCCUAUUUAGUAUCUCCAAAUUUUCAAACUUGUUGUGACAUAUUAGCAACCAUUCAAAUCUCCUAUCUAAUAAAAUAAAACAAAGAACACAAGUCUAGAUUAAUGUAUCUUGAAUGUCAACAAAUGUCACAUUCAUUCUCUUAAGAUAUGGAAAUAUCAUUUUAAGAUCAAUUUUACCACCCACUGUUGCUUACUAUUGACCCCUUAAACCACAACUAUUCAUUCUAGAAAUCCCCGCAUGGCCCACAAAAAAAAAUAAUAAUCACUUCAUUUUGAUUUUUCUCCACUUCUAAUAAAUAAAAUUCUUCUAAGGGAUAAUUACAUGGUCCCAACUCCCAGGUUUACAAGCUCUUACAACUCUAUGAUGCCUAUUCAAAUGGGCUUGUUUUCUUUUGAAAGGACAUAUGCCCCACAAAGUGGGUUAGGCCUUAUUUUUGAAAGCUUGGAAGGAUAGGUCUGGGCCUGGUUAUCUCAUGUUACCCCUGCCCAAACCCAAACAACGACCACAGGUCAUAUGCCAUGGCAAUAUUGCACCUAUUACGUGAUGUUUCAAGGUAAUUCAUGCCCAACAAUAAUUUUCCUUUCUAAUAAUUAUUGCUACUUUUCAAAGUCGGACCACCACAAGUCAUAUGCAUUGGCAACGCACCCAUUGUAGGAGGUUCUUCUAAAGCAAUGAAGGCCCACAAAUUGUUUUUGGGGAAAAAGAAUUAUCCCUCUAUUUUUCCCUUUUUCUAAUAAAGUUAGUCCUAAAAGUCAAAUUUUCAAACAUUUUUCAAACAAAACAUAAUGUAUAAAGUUUUGUUUGAGACCAACGGAGUUGGUUGAAGAUAUUUGUUAUUUUCCUUUCUGCACAUUCUUCUCCUUAUUUCCUUUUUCUUUUUUUUUUUAUUCCCUUAAAGUAUGAAAGUUUCAUGUCUCCAUAGAUCACUGAGAUGACUUUUAUAUGGAGAUUUCUCCUUGGCAUGUUGAACAGGUCAGAAAUGAAAAAGAUGAGGCCAACAUUAUAAUAUUGCAACGGCAUCGAACUUUGAAUCAUGGAUUAGCAAUAUUUAACCCAAGCCACCCUAAUCUCAAGUUGCUAACUAGUAAAAAAAACACAUAAGAGUCUUCAUCUUCACCUCUCAAAAGAAAUCUAUCCCCACCCAUUGAGCUACAACUCUUCCAUCUCCUUCUCCCAAUCCUCUCCAUACCAUUCCUCUCAAUCAACUCUGUAAAAGAACAUGGGUGUCACAAGACUCAGUCAAAAGUACGCGACUCAUGUCACUCCAGGCAGGAUGUUCAAGGCCUUGAUCCUAGACUCCCACAACCUCUGCCCCAAGCUCAUGUUUUCAUCCAUUAAGAGCAUUGAAUUUCUUGAAGGGGAAGGAGAAGUUGGGAGCAUCAAACAGAUCAACUUCACUGAAGGUCAGCAAAAGUACUAGAUACUAAUUUUCCAGCAUAUACUCAGUGCCUUUGAAUUAGAUAAUUCAGUGAUAACAUAGCUAACAAACAUGUUUGAUUGUGAUGGAAUAUGCAGCUAGUCCUUUAACAUACAUGAAGCAUCGGAUCGAUGCACUAGACAAAGAGAAACUCACAUGCACAUACACUAUGUUUGAGACUGAUGCCCUGAUAAUGGACAAGAUUGAAUAUAUUACUUAUGAUGUGAAGUUCGAGCCAUAUGGUUUUGGGGGGUGUGUUUGUAAUCUGACAAGCGUCUACAAAACAAAAGGGGAUGUAGAGAUCAGAGAAGAGGACAUAGAGCAUGGCAAGGACAGAGCAAUUGGGAUGUAUGAAGUGUUGGAAGCCUAUCUCAUGGCACACCCUCGCGCCUAUACUUGAAAAAAACCUCUCUGAUUAUUUUGAGAAUUGUAUGUUUUUUUUCCUAAUAUGUUUAGCUACCUUUUUUUUUUUUCUUUUUUUCUUUUUUCUUUUUUUUUCUUUUUUUGGUUCUUGUCUUGAAAAAUGCAAAAUACAAUCAGUAUGUGAAUUUUGCCAAGUUAUGGGUUAUGUUGUCUCUGGGCUCUGGUUUUGUGGCUCUGCAAAUGACAAAUUCAUGGCAGGCAGAAAAGUCUUAGCAGCAGAUCUAGCAGUGUUUUCAUUUUUAUCUAAUGAUCUUUUUGCUUGUUAUGAACUUUUUCAUUGGAGUUCAAUCCAUAAGCAUCCUAUCAAUGCCAAAUAUGAGAAUUGAUCGGAGAAAUCAAAUGGGAGAUGAAUAAUAAAAUUUCCAGAAAGAAAGAUAAAGAGCUGAUAGAUAAGUAAAACUGCCAUUGAUGUGAUCAAUCUUCAUAUCUAAACAUAUAUAAAUGCACAUUAUCCAGGUUGAUAUUGAGUUCCCAUGUUAUGUUGAUCUAUGGUCUCAAUCAACUGAAUCUCUCUCAGGUUUUUGUCUGUUUCCUCUUUAAUGGUUUGAUUGUGGUACAGAGAGAGUAGGAUUCUUUCCAAGUCAAUUGAACCUCAAGGCACCCUUCUAUGAUAUGGUACUAUGAUCUCCCUCUGGUUCAUUAAACCACAAAAUAAAAACAAGGGUUUUAUCACAGUGGUGACGAUGAGAGAAUUGACUCCUCUAAUGGGGAAAAGAAGAAGAAUGAUAUAAGGGGUUUGUUUGGUCACAGUGGAAAUUAGUUCGAUGUUCUUCAUGGUGAUGGAUCUCAUCUCCUGCGUUGAUUUCUUUUGUUGGGAUUCCAUCUUGAUUUUCCAUCAUUCACCAUGUACCAAAGGCUUGAACAUCUUUAGCAGGAGCAGCCAGAGUCAUGAACUUUUUGGGUAAAGUAAAGCAGGUAACACCCAUCAUUGCUUUCAGAGCAAGAUUAUGAUCUCUUAGAAAUAAAAUUGAAGUAUAGAUUGGUUUGGUGUGAAGGGUCUUGGAUUCUGUAGGGGAAAAGGAAGAAUGAUAAAACAACUUAUAGGCCAAUUUUUGUGGUAGUUCUAAUUAUCAAAUUGGCCAUUUUUGACUCAACCUCAGCUGCCACCCAACCUAACUUAUCCAAAAUCUAUCUUGUUCAAAGUUCUUGUCUGAAAGGUCUAAACCCUUUUUGCUUUCUCUCCUUUGGCUGGACCCAAACUUCAUCUGGGUCACACGACCCCAGCCAAUUCUGAAAGUUCCUCCUUGUUGAGGUAGUUCAAACCCACCCAGAAGCAUAAGAUAUGCUUUUGUGAUUCCACACUUGAUCUAAACCUGAUAUCAAGAAAGAAAUCUACAAUUCUAUUGAAAGGAUAUGCGUAUACAUCUGACUAGAACUUUUGCCCAUACUGGGACCAUGUAAAGGUGGCUCUUGCCAUCGCAGACAUGGGGUGGGUACCUUGGUUCCUCAGGUCAAGCCGCCCAUGUGGCAUAUGCAUAAGUGCGUGUUUAGUCAAAACUCGGAGAGGCAGAAGGUUGAAUCUCCAAUUAAUUCCUCUUUUGUGAAUUCAUGCCAAACACAUACCACCUAAAACCCAAUCUAUAAGUACUGCAAACUGGUGAAGAUCCCCACAAUUUUCAAAGACCAUUGCUUUCAUAUUCUCCCAAAACAUGGGUGUCACCAGUUUCACACAAGAAUUCACAUGCCCAAUUGCCCCCUCUCGCAUCUUCAAGGCCCUGAUCCUAGACUCCAACAACCUGAUCCCAAAGCUCUUGCCCCAGACCAUAAGAAGCAUCGAUGUUGUCCAAGGAGAUGGAGGAGCUGGAACCAUUGAACAAGUGAACUUCACCGAAGGUCAGUAAUCUUAAAUCAAAAGAAUAGAUAUUAUAUGUUUUAAGCUCAAUAGUUAAAAGCAGUUUGUAUAUACAUAACAUUAGGAACUUUUUCCCCAAAUAGGCAUACACUCUUUGCGAGGCUAAACAAGCUCUAAUACUAUUUGUAACAACCUCGUCUCAACCCCAUGUGUAGGUAUUAUUCGCUCUAAGUCCAAUAAACCCACAUGGCUUUUAAAACUUCCAUAGGGAUUGAGAAUUACUUUGAAACAAUUUAUAACAAUCCACUCUCAACCGUGUAUAGGUAUUAUUUAUGAGCCCACACAAAUUUAAAAUGCUUUUAAAUAAUUAAAAGCAACUCAUACAUGUAUUGCAAUAGAAACUUUUUUCCCUAUCCCAUGUGAAAUAUUACAGCAAGAGCCUGAAAUAUGUUUCUUUUGGCUUGUCAUGCAGCUAGCAAUCUCAAAUACGUGAAGCACCAAAUCGAAGAAUUGGACAAAGAGAAUUUUGUGUGCAAGUAUCGUAUGAUUGAGGGAGAUGUAUUGGGUGAGGAGCUUGAAUCAAUUGCUCAUGAGGUGAAGUUUGAGGCAGCAGAUGGAGGUAGCAUUUGUAAGAUGGCAAGCGAGUAUCACACCAAGGGAAAGUUUGAGAUUAAGGAAGAAGAGAUAAAAGCUGGUAAGGCUAGAGCUAUGGGGAUAUACAAAGUUGUGGAAGCCUAUCUAUUGGAGAAUCCCCAUGUCUAUGCUUAGUUUCUAUCUUCCUCUAUAUACAUAUUCACACAUAUUUGAUUGUCACUUCUCUGUUGUCCAAUGUUUUCUCUAUUAUAUACUUUAUACUGGUGUUUUGUAUUCUUCAUUACAUGUACCCUUAAUUUUUUUCUUUUUUUCCUUGGCCAAAAUUGCCUCUAAAUUUCCCUAUUGUAAUGUUAUUGACAAAUGGAAAAACUAAGAAAUACGAAUUUUUCUAUUUGAAUUGUUGGAAUGGCAACACCCAUAUAAGUUGAGGGUAAUCUUUUCGUAGUUGCAUGAUGAUUGAAAAAUAUUCAAUAAUUAGUUCAUUAAAUAUUGCAUGUUAAUGAAAUGAUUAGUUUGAAAAUUAAGGGGGAUAUGUUAUUAUGAGUUUGGUGAUGUUAGGUGAAAUUCUAGAGAACAUAAAAGCAUCUUAAUUCAUGUGAUGAAAAAAUUGCAAUUGGUAUGCUAUUGGAGAGGUUUGGGAUCAAAAUGAAAAUAUGAAUCUCUAUCUUAAGCCUUAGGGGUGCUUUUCGAAACCUAAAAGUAGUAAAGGCAAAACAAUGUUUAGAUAUACCUAUGAAAUUUCUAUUUGAAGCCUUAUUUGGAGAACUUCUUGAAGCCUAAAAGUAGCAAAGGUAAAACAAGGGUUAGAUAUUACUAUCAAGUCUCAACUAUGAUUUUCAUACUUUUCAACGUGAUCUAUGAAGUAAAAGAAUUCAAGCUUUUACUCGUAGAGUGGUGUCAAAAGCAUACUAUUAUUUGUCUUUAAUAUCAAGUCCAACAAAUUGGUAUUAAAAAUCUUAUUAAUGAUUGUCUCCUUUGUUUUUAUAGUGUCUAGAUUGAAAUUCAAGCAUAUGGUUUGAUUUAACGUUUAAAGAGGUUUGUUUGGAUUUAGAUUAGAGAUGAAUAAAAUGGAUGAUAGUGGAUUCAACUUCGGGAUGGUUUUAUAUGAAAAAAUUAUAUAGAACAAUGAAUAUUUUAUAAAAGCAAAAUUAGUUAGGAAAAAAGAAUUAUUCUCUUAUCUACUUUUUUUCUCUUUCAAUGUUGAAAGAAUCCUCAUUUUCUAAGUACACACUACAAUACAAUCACUUCUUUUAUAUAUCUAUUACAGUUGUCAACAUAUGGAUGUAACAUCUUUCGAUAAAAACCUUUCAAAAAAUAAGAGAAAUUCAUUUGAUAUAUUAAAGAAAAUUCAUUUUGAAAUCUCUUCUUAUAAACCUUUUUAUGAAAACCAUUACUUUCCUAGCUUGUGGAAGAAGAAGAGCUUUAAUAUAAUUCACAUAUAUCCUAACGCUCUCUAAUGAUUAGAAGAGUUUUAUACACUUCACUACCAUCAAAGGAGACUACAAAUUCAGUUAGAAAAUAAAUGCCCUUUAGGAAGAACUUGUUACAUGUGCAAAAAUGUUGCUCUAUGGGAAAUGAUGGUUCAAACGCCGAACCAAUACGGGGCUAAAAAAAAUGAACUCAAACAAUUGUUAAGAGUACACUAAUAUCAAUAGGUGUAUAUAAAUUUUGGCUAUAAGCCUGAAGAAGAUAAAAAUCAGGAGACUAAUGUUAUAAAACGAUGACUCAUGAUACUCAAGGCAUGAGGAUGAAUAUGAUAUUAAAUCUUAUAAAAUGGUAUAGUGAGAUGUUGGUAAUGGCUAGUUUGCUUUCGGUGCCUAGUCAUAGGUAUGGCUUAUAUAAAAGAUUUGAGUUUAAGGUUUAGGAUUUCCAAGGAAAAGAUUAUGGAGGUACUCCUUCAAGAUUGUUAUACGUGCAAUAUAGUGGAAUAGCCACACUCGAAAUGGUCAUGACUGAUGUGAUGUUGAAGUACCAUAAAAGAGUACUAGCCGCACUCUCACCCACAGCAACUAAUUUGCUGAUGGGAUUACUAAUGCCCGAGCCUCAACAGAACUGAAAAAUGAGGCCCAAUGAGACCCUUCAAAUCCAAAUCACAAUGCUACAAUUCCAUAAGAGCUCCACCCAUUUGUCCACUCCAUCAGAAAGCAUGAGUAUUGUUGGUCUUCAUCCAGGAUUCCAGAUUUAACGAACCCAUCUUCCCUCUUUAAGAAUCCUGCAGAAGAGGCCCUUCGUUGAGCGAAUAGGUAAUGAAUAUGGACUGGCCUGCCAUGCAGCAAUGUGAUAUAUCCGCAAUGGGCAUCAGCAACAAUGAUUGGGAGAGAAUUGGGAUGAGCGUUCUUUCCUUUUCACUUUUUUGCAGUCGGCUGCCUUUUACCACCAUAACCAAGUGCGACAGAUAAUUUGGGGAAUGCAUAGCCAGACCGUAUAUUCCCCCAAGAAGACGACCUGGAAAAUACAAGGCAGCGAGUCAAUGUCCUACACUUGAAAACAAGAGUAGGUUUCACUUUCCAUAAAGCACAGUAGCUGUAGGCACUAUAAAUUGCCUGCUUCAAUCAUAGAAAAAAAAAGUUCAUGUAGUGUAAAUCUAUGUUUAUCUACACACUGAAGUCAACCCAUUGAAUUGAUAGAUGGCUAAAUUUCGUAGAGGCAUAUUUGGGUAUGUUCCCAUCUACAUCACCCCCCUUUCUCUUGUGGGCCAACCAGAGGGGCGGUACCAAAUGAAGAAAAUCAAAAUGACCUCAUUCAUAUCAAUUUUCCAACUUCAAUAAGCACAUUUUGAAAAAACAAAAAAAAAAAAAAAAAAACAAAAUCAUGUUUUUCAAGAAUUUGUUCUAUAAUGUUAUUGUGCUUUCAUUUAUUCCUUGUAGAAUUUUUAGAGAAAAAUUAAAAAUAUAAAAAAUAUUUAAAAAAACAUUCUCUUUAUACAAGAAUAUACAAUGCCUUUAUAGAGAAAAACCUGGAUAAACUGUUUUUCAUAUUUAUAUUUUUAUAUGGAAUUUUAUUUUUUAAAAUAAGUAAAAAUUGUUUUCAAAAAUUAUUUUUUUUAAGAACUGUUUUCAAGCAAAUCCUAUUAAAUUUUCAAAAAGAGUGAAACAUCAAAACUAAAGUUCCAGAGAGUCCUCAUGUUCACACCCUCAGUGGUGACAUCAUGGCUUUUCAUAAAGAUCAUUCAAAGCUAUAAGGUGAAUACCACCUCAAAAUAAAGCAUCAUGGUUUUUUUCUACAAAAUUGCCGUUAAUUUUUCUUGAAUCCCACAAGCCUAAAUCUCAAAAUUUGCCAAACAUAUAAGGCUACUGGCUUCCUUGCCUACUAGAGAAAGCAUGCCAAACACCGUCCACUGUUCACAAUAGCAUCAAGAACAAGAACCAAGCCAACUAGGACCACACCGUAACAAAAAGUUUAGUCUGAAAACAGUCUAGUCUUACUUAGGAGAUGGACACUAUAUUUAGAAAUUUUUAAGACGGGCAGAGAUGGAACCUCUCUGGAUCUCAGGAUGGAAUCUUGACUCGUUGAGCCAAUAACAUCAGAACCCAACCUAAUAAAGGUUAAACAAUUGAGCACAUAGUCCAGCAAAAACUGGGCUAAAAAUGAAGAUUCGUUACUUGUGAAUUAUGCAACCUGAUUCCAUGUAAUUGUGCUUAGUGAUUCAAUCCGAAGCAGAGUAAAGAAGAGCUGAAUCCGAGUCAUAGGACCACUUCCUGCAAAGAGGCCAAUAGCAAACCAAACUAAUCAAACCAUAACAAAACUUGGGUAGAUGUCUAAAUCACAAUCUAAUCAACACCCAACUCAUCAGUAAGACUAACAAAAAGUUCAAGCACCACCCAAUGUCAGUGGGAGAAUCUGGUCUCCGUCAACCUUUUAUGGCAAAGCUGAAAGAAAGGUUUGUGGGAUGCAACUCAGUAUAAGAAAAAUAAACUACAAUUUUGACACUAUAAGGUGUUUCUUGUAACAAAAGGAUUCCUCAAGAGUGGAUAUCCUUCAUUGAAAAAGCUACUUUAGAUUUUUUUUUGACAUAUAUAUGAAUGAUCUAUCCAUCAUCUGCUCUCACUUUAAUUCUUUUAUUUCUUUCUUGGCCGGGCUUUGGAUAUCCAAACUGCGCAAACGUCCCUCAAUUAUAGAUGGCCAUCCAUCUUAAAGCAAAUUCCCUUUGGCUCAACAUUCAAAGGUCCAUACAAAACACCGCCCUCUUUCUCGAAGCCAUACCCUCCUCCCUCUCUUUAAGAUUUGAAAGUGACUUCUGAAAGCCAAGCAAGGGCAAAAUUCACUCUCUGAGGGAAAAGCAAAAAAAGAUUCCUUGCAUGUCCCAGGCCUUUUGCCCUUCAAAUAUUCCCUCCUCAUAUACAAAUAAAUGCCACCUAUUGAUUCUUCAUUCACUCUCCACCCUCUCCAUUCCAUAGAAAACACAACCCUUUGUUUUUUCUUCAUUUUCCUGCCUUUCCCUAACUCAUGAUCCCAGAACUGGAGGUAUGUGCCAAAUCCACAGUAGGAACAUAUUGAUACAGAACAACUAGUGCCUACAUCGUAGUUCUAGCGUUCUUCUUUGCAGAUAUCUUGCAAGACAUUUUCCUAACCUGUCAGUUUUCUUGUUAAAAAAAAUGCAGAAGCCUCGGGUCACUGAGAUACAGGUCCGGAUGGACUGUAAUGGGUGCGUACAGAAGAUCAAGAAAGCCCUAUACGGCAUCAAUGGUGAGUGAUUUAUUGCUAAUGGGUACCUCAAUAGUGGUCUUUCUAUUUUGUCCCUUUACUCCUAUGUUUUGGUGUAGGUGACCUAAUUUUUGAGUUCUCCAACAGGUAUAUAUGAUCUCUAUAUUGACUUCCCCCAACAAAAAUUGACAAUAAUUGGGUGGGCGGAUCCUGAAAAAAUAAUGAAAGCCAUUAAGAAGACGAGAAAGAUUGCCACCAUCUGUAGUCAUACAGAACCGACAGACCCAGCCACAAAGCCACCGGAACAAGCACCUGAAGGCGGCGGCCCACCCCCAGCAGAAGCUGCAAACCCUCCCCCUGCAGAAGCUCCACAAGCCGAGGCUGCCCCACCAGCGGAGCCACCAAAAGACCCACCACCACCUGAAAAUCCUCCGCCAGAGGCAACACCAGCACCUGCAGCUGCAGAUGUUAAUGCAGGUAACCCAGCACGACCUAAAGAUGUGGAAGAGGUUCACGUAAUAUACCACCACCCACCUGAGUAUGGCUACAGAUAUGGGUAUGGUCACCGGUAUGGAGGGCACUGGAACAACUACUCCAAUGUCCAAGGAUUGCAACAAGAGCCACCCCCAACCGUCUACACCAAUGUCCAAGGAGUCCAUCACGAGCCACCCCCGACAAUGUACACCAAUGUCCAAGGACUCCAUCAUGAGCCACCCCCACCUGUCUAUGUGACUCAUAGGUACAACACAUACAAGCCACCACCUUACAUCACUGAAUACGAGUACAUCCGGUCGCCACCACGGCACGCACAUUACAGUAGGAUGGACCGCUAUAGUGAGGAUUAUCGCAACGUGAAUAACAGCAAUGGAAACAUCACUUCAAUGUUUAGCGAUGAAAAUCCAAAUGCGUGUAGAAUAGUCUAGACAGGGUAGAGAAGUCAGUUUGAAAACGGAGCUCUUUCUUUUGCCUCCAAGAGAGUCUUAGCUAGAAAGUCAUUGGAGAAUAAUUAAUGAAAUAAAAGUAAUUUGUGGCCGUGAUGUUUCCUAAUAAGCACGUGAAGAUAUUGCGAGAGGAAUGAGAUUCUGAGCUUGUAAGUGGAGGAAGAAUCGAUCCUGCAUUCCACUUCUGAUAGGGCCAAUACAUACUGCCGGGUAUUCAUUUCUUAUGUAAGAAUCCUGUAAAGCAUAUAUUCUACAAGCCUAAUCCACAUCCUUCCAUUUUUCAAAAAGACAUCCAUCCUUCUCUUUAGUUUAGAUUAUCUCAUAAAAGCAUCUGCCCUUGAAAGACGAAACAAAGAUCAACAAUUUUUGCUUGUCAUAAAGUUAUGUGAACUGCCUUUUUCCAUAGUCCAUUGAUAGUACAAAUUUUCUUUUCUUUUUCUUCUCAGCUGAUUAGAUCUGCAAUGACAUUCAUAAUCUAUCAUCUAAAAUUCAAAAGAUAACAGGAUGUUCAACUCUACAAGCUGUGUGAUAUAUAUGCAUGAUGACAAACAAUGGAUCAGAAUUUCCUGCUUGGUUAAACGAUACAAUGUCCUAGAAUGUUAAAAGAAGCAUCAUAAUAGCAUAAUUUUACCAUGAUUAGUUCUCUAAUUGUCCAACCUGCACUAUAUUUGAAGUCAUGCAAAGAAGUAAAAUUAAGGAUCACCAAAGAAAGUGGUUAAAGGGGAUUCAAACCCCAAAAGAAUUUCAAGCUAUUUUGUAUAGUCACAAUCAAGAUUGACAACUACAACAGAUCCCUGAAACUAUAGUACAUUUCUUUUUAAGGUUGUAGUUAAUUACGACCAUGGGAAUUAUUAGAGGUCUAAAGCUCAGCCAUCUCCUGUACUUGAUGCCAAACCCAUCCCUAUAAGCUGACCACCAUAGAUCAUCUAGACCCUGGUGCUUAUAACUAGAGCAAACCAAAAUCCAGUUUGGCAGCAUCUCAGUAACAGCCUGAAUCAUAAGAACUGAUGCUUUUUUAUUAUUUGAACCCAGCCGCUUUGUGACAAUGGAACCUAACAGCAAAAAAGGAUCAUGCUUGAAUUUUUAGCUUCACAACAUAAAUUGAAGCAUAUUUGAGAAAGAAGAAAGUUCAAUAUUUCUCCUAGAAGAAGCAGGUAGAUGUUGUUUUUGCCCUACAUACAGAGGUUCAUUUCAUCAGGCUCCACCUCCAAGUGCAACCAGCAAAAAGGGAACAUCAAUCCUAACAGCUCAAUUUUCUGAAAAACAUGCAACAGAAGAAAGAAGUCUUCAAGUGUUUCUUUCCAGUGAUUAGAUUUGUUAAGAUUUGCCCAAACGAAAUCGGAAGAGAGAAGCAAGAAGCAAAAUAGAAAAUGAACUAUGAGAAUUAAUAUCCAAGUUUAUAUCAAACAUAAGCAUGCCCUUCAAACUACACACAAUGGCUGAAUGCCAUUAUUCUUAUAUUUUAUUUUUAAUAUCAGACAGGCCUAGCUUACAUUAAACCGUAAGAAACUUGGCUCUAACUACUGCACAAAUCUGGAGCUGAAUAUGAUUCCUUUCCACCACCAUGUAUUCAUGCCUACCAAAUAAGAGGCCUUUAUCUUAUGAUUGAUGUUUUCAAGUAUAAAAGAGUUGUGUUGUGUAAACUACCAUCAAGGGUCAUGCUCAGUCACUACACUAACAAUAAACCCAAUGAAUGGACAUAUGAAAGAUGAGCCUUCCAUGCCUCGUUGUCACCUACCAACAUCAAAUAAAAUAUUCUCACUAAUGCACAUUCUCUAUUAUUUAUGAAAAUUAAAAUACUUUCACUAUCUUCAUUGAUGGUGGAUAAAAUGAACUACAUCAAAAUUCUGCUUUCAGGCUUUUGUUAAUUGAGGUUGGUCAUUCCUUCAAAUUAUGGAGCACAAAGCAUAGCAGAGAACAAAGUUGUCGACCACCAGAUGGUUAUGAUAACUAAUGAAAUGAUAUAAAUAAAGAUAAGACAAUGACCACAUUAUUGAAGUCCCUCACAAAUAGGGUUGCAAAUGAACUGAGCUACUCAUCAUUCAUGUUGGCCCAGCUUGGUAAUAGCCUCAUUACCUUGAAUCCAGACCAAGCUCAAGCCUCAUCUUGAAGCCUGUUUAAUAAAGAAGUGAUGUAAAGCAGAAGCAACAUAGGAGAGAUCUCAAGGAAAGUAAUAAAAGAAGAAAACUUCUAUUCUUUAACUCAAACUAAUUCAAAAUCUGAAUGUACCUCAAAUGCAUGAAUAUUUCUUUUUACAACAGAAAAAACUCUAAAGCCAAAAGAAUUCUACAGCUUGCUAAAUCUUAAACUGUCAGAAAAGGUAGUCGGGUGCCAUGUUUUUUUAAUGACUUGGCAGGUAACUGCAUAUCUGACAAAAAUUCUGCCAAGCUCCAUACAUUUCAGCAAUUUCCAUUAAUGAUUCUGAUUCCACCUGACUCCGUCUGCAUCCAAGUAUGGAAGUAAUGGAACAGCAGUCACCCAUUCCAAUUCCUUGAUUCCCAAUUCCAACUAGCAUUCCUAUCCUCUCAUUCCCCCUGUCUACACAGGGCCUUACAAUAUUGUACAGCUUCAGAUAAUCUCCAUCAAGUAUUUUUCAAGUACUAAUGACUCAAAAGCCCAUGCCUAGUAAUAAAAAAGGCAAAGGGAUAUUGACUUGACAAAGAAUUAAUACCUUCUGCAGUAAGAUACAGUUAGUCAUCAUUAUCACUGCUUAUCUGGGAUUCAUCAUCUUCUUCUCCAUAAAGAACAUCCUCAACUUCUUCUUCUUCAUCUUCACUUUCAUCCACCUGGUGACCAUGUUGUAUUUGACUUAUGUUUUGGGAAGCCUUAUCAAUCUGUUAAAAGAAAGAAAUAAAGUCAAAUGCCAAAAAAAAUCAUACAACAUAUACUGAACUAAGGUGAGGAUGUGAAGUUACUAACCUGUGCCAUUACAAGCUGCAAACCACCUGAUAGCUGUAAUAAAGAUUGAACAGCCGUCCCUCUAGAUUUUGUGCUCUGAGAGGGGAAAAAACAUCAUUCAAGUCCUCCACACUAUGAAUUAUGACCCUAGAAAAGUAUGAAUAAAGUGCAACAACAUUUUGGGGAACAAACCAAUAGGAACAGCAGAGCAUGAAAACUAUGUGCAAACUAGAGAACCUACAAAUAUUAUGCAUAUCACAAAGACCCUAGAAGGUCAGCUGUGGAUAUCAUUUGAGUUGAAAGAACUAAAAUGGUCAAAUAUUUAUUUCCCAGCCCACAAAACUGAGAAGGAGCAGAGGUCAGGAUCAUGAAUACAGACCCCAACUUUAGGACUUCAAGUUCCCAAAAUCAAGACUUUGAUCUCUAAGUAGAUGUCUAGCUGUAAGGAAAGGUUCUCCUGUUGAAGUCUAGAUUUUGAUGAAACCUAUAUUGAAUUACAGAAAUUAUAUAUUUCACUAUUUCAGUGAGCUGUUAUUUCAAGUCAAACCAAAACCCAACUGAAGUUCUAAUCAUACAUCACAGGACCACUAUGGCAGGAGCUUAAGGGCUGGGAACACUCUAGGGAAAAGCUUUGGCUCUGUUUUGCAUCUCCAGCUGAUCUCAGCCUAACCCAACCAACAACCCUACUGUCAAUACCAAGGUAUGGUUAGACGUUGAACAAGCCCAAUAAUAUAUCAGUUGUCAUAUAAAAAUAAAAAUAAAACCCAUGCACAGCUUCUUUUUUUCACUUUUUGCCCAAAAAAUAAUAAUCAAACUUUAGAAUAACAUGAAUUUUCCUGAUUCGGAAAAUGAUUUAAUUUCUUUAUUAAUAUAAACAUUAAUAUAUAACAUCAAUGCAGAUAAAUGGACUAAUGAAUAAUACACUAUACAGAUUCUAUUUACAUCAAUAGUACUACUAUAGAUUGUAACCAUGUAAUAUUAAAAUUGAUAAACUUGAAUGGCAUUGCCUAUAAAGUAACUACACUAAUUGACUGGUUCCCUGAUAUAGAUUCACAUUCAAUAGUAUUCAGAAUUGUUGGCAGAUAGUCAUGAUUUUCAAGUAAAGGCCACUCCUUCACCUUUUUGAUACCCUAUAAGCCUCUUCAUUUACGCAAAAACAGUCGAACAUUAUCAAUUUAUACAUAGAAACUAAGUAAAUUUUCCCCAUCAUCUUUUCAUACAGUCUACAAACCACAAAGGGGAAGGACUCACAGAAUUAAAAAUUUCUAAUACUAACAACAAAAGCAAGUUCAUAUAUAAAAAUACAUACAUGAAGGAGAAAUGAAGAAAACAAGACUUUACCUGGUGCAAGGAAUCAAGAAGCUGGGUCACUGGUUCCUGAGAUACUAUGUGUUGACUAUGAUUCACUAAUAUAGUAUAAAUCCAUGGGAGGACAUAGUUUCCACUGCAUGACCUGUUGAAGACAACCAAAGCUCUGAGGCAGUAAAAGCAAACACUGACUUGGGCACCACCUGGCUCGUAUAUAUCUAAAAGUACUGGUGAAAAUUGGCUGAUUUGACUUUUAAGUUUAGAAAAAUAAAAACGAAGAGAAAGAGGAGGAAGAAGAAGAAGAAUAAGAACCUCCCCCAUAUAUCAAUUCUAAGGUCCACUCUUUUCUCCCUGACAUGGGUACAAUCUCCCUCAUAUUUUGUACUAAUGACAGGUAAAAAUUGAAUGCUUUAAAGAGGUCAGCCCAAAAACAUAUAUGGAAAAUUUUUAUGUCAAACAAAAAGAAUAAAGGACAAAAAAAAAACAGUAACUUUGACCAAAUAAGAAAUUUGUACUUUCUUUCAACACAAGCAAAUAUGCACAACCUUUCUUUAAAAAUAAAAUAAAAUAAGUUACAUGUGCUUGCAUCUCUCAGUCACAUCUUCCCAUGUUGUAAUUCAAUCUUUUGCAUUUUAUGGUGAUGAUCAGAAGGGAAUGGAUCAGAAUCCCCUUGCACACCACAACCAUUUUUACAUUAUUUUUGUUAAAAUCCAAAGUUGUUAUUCAACUAAAGCUAGACCAUAGACAAUUAUCAAUCAAGUACUCCGAGUGGAUUUUGGAACCACAAAUUGGGUAUGGAGGAUUGACUAAACAAGGAUUGAAAUCACACAAGUUAAGGGUAUCUCUAUAUUUUAUUUAAAAUAUGUAGCAAGCUCAUUAAAUGGGUCUCAAUCAAAUUCAGUUGAUAGUUGACGGUUUAUUUUGAGUAAAUGAUAGUUAAUAUUUUAUUUUUAGAAGAUGGUGCUAAGGGGAGGAAGAAGUCGGUUUGUGGUGGAGUCUAAGUGGUUUGAGAUUGAGAUUGAGGAGUCAGGUGGGAGUUUGAAAGGAUGCAUAUGGGAGAGAAGUAGGGGUUUUGAGUCUUGGAUUAGAUUUGGGGAGGCUAGUCUUCGUUGUCUUUUGGAAGGCGUUGAAACCUGUUGUAGAGAGGUGGAUGAUCAAAGAUGGGCUAUUGAAUGGUUGGAGGGUAACAGAAAGUUUANNNNNNNNNNNNNNNNNNNNNNNNNNNNNNNNNNNNNNNNNNNNNNNNNNNNNNNNNNNNNNNNNNNNNNNNNNNNNNNNNNNNNNNNNNNNNNNNNNNNAUUAUCCUUCCUGAAGGAAAGGGUUAGGCCAGUGGAUGGAACUCUUUGGUUAUGAGGUUGAGAGGUCUUGGAGUGACACUGACAGAAGGAUUAAAGAUUUCCAAUGUGCCAGAGUUUUCGAUGAAGCCGAAGGGAGUCCUGAAGGUUCAGUGGAAGGAAAAGGGGGUGGAAAUGAAGUCUUUUGCAGAAGCUGUUAAAUCGUCACCGAGAAGGGCGGGUGAGUCAGUGUGGUUAGAGGUAGGGGAAAAUGAGGUGCGUGGUAGACUAGAGCAUCUGAAACAUUGUCUAAUAGGGAGGUGGGGUUCUAUCUCAGUUCCACUACCUGAGUUGGAUUUCGUAAGGAAUUGGACCCGCCAGAUUUGGGAGGUUAAGGGGAAGUUGUCGAUUGCCACGUUGGGCAGGUGUAUUAUGUUGUUCGAAUUCGAUCAGGCUCAAGAGGCUGAGCGUGUUUUGGCCAGAGGCAAAAGAAGCAUUAAGGAUAAUUGGCUUAUCCUGGACAAAUGGAAUUCGGAGGUGGGGUGUUCCUUAAAGAAUCCCAUUGCCGCAGAGACAUGGGUUAGGGUGGUCGGGCUCCCACUCCAUUUCUAGUGUCUUGAGGUGUUUAAAAGUAUUGGAGAUGGGUGCGGAGGAUUUAUAGCAGUGGAUGAAGGAACCAAAUCCAUGUCUGAGCUGCAAUGGGCGAGGAUUUUGGUGAAGCGUGUGGAUUGGGAGGUCCCUAGCUCAGUUCAUAUAGCUUUGGGGACAGGGUGCUUUGCCCUUCAUCUAUGGUGGGAAUCUGCUCCUUGGUUCUCACAGGUGGUACCGGCGGGAAGCUCCUCCGAGAAAAGCGGGUUAAGGGCAGGUGAAGAAGUUGAUGGGCCUCUUCGGGUGGCUUGCUGUGGGAGUCAAAGGAAGGGGGUGGAGCAGUUGGGGUUGCAGGUGGAGGUACGAGACGUGGCGUGUAAUGGAGGAAAAACUCUCCUUCCCUCUGUUGAAGCCUCUGCAGAUGGGACUGUUGAGAGGAGAUGGGCUGGUGGCCCAGCCGACCUAGUGGGAAGGGGUAGGGAGUCUUCUCCCAUCAGUUUGGUCAACUGCGGAAGUGGGCAGGAAGGCCCAAGCAAGAGCUCUGGCCCUUCAGCUUUAAGCUGUGGGGAAGCCCAAGUCUUUUAUAGGAUCGAUUUGGGCCGGGGUCCAAGGCCCAAUCCCUGCUCCUUUAGUGUGGGGAUGUCGGGUGAGGCCUGUGGGCCUGUCCAAGCUGGGGCUUUGUUAGAUGAGGUCUUUGAUGGUUUCGAGACCCCUUCCUCGCUCCCUAGGGCUCAGUUUCUGCAGCCGAUUCCCAUCUCCAGGGGUGCUAGUCAAGACGCAAGAGGAGAAGUCGAUCCCCUCGUCGGGCUGCCGCGAGACUCGAUGGCGCGAGUUUCCUCUCAGAUGAUGGAUCGGGGGUUCCUGACUGACGAAGCUCUAUGCGAAGAGGCUUCCAGGUAUGUCGAUCUCUGUCAUAUUCCUUUGGGGGGUCGGGAUCUCUCUUCUCCUUCUUCUUCUUCUUUUGAACGGGUGACGAUGAAUGAGGGGACCACUGGUGUUUCGUUUUCUGAGGGCAUCGAAGAGGAGCAGACUUCGUUGAGUAUUAUUUUGGCUGAUGGUAGCAAGGGAGUGCUAGUCUCUAAGGGUGAGAAGCAAGUGGCUGGAGAAGGACUGGGGGGGGAGUUUGAGGGGAUGUUUCAGGAUCUAGAUGGGUGCCGGUGGGACGACAAUUACUUGGCGAGGUUUAGCAAAUUCUUGGGCUUCUCCACGGACGGGUUUGAAGGCGAAGUUCUGAAUUUGCUCCUAAGGACUAAGAGAAGAAGAUAGCAAAAUCUGAAGAAGGGCACGUCAAGGACCACUAAGUUUGAUAGGGAAUUGAAAAAACUUGAGUGGUCUAUCAAUUAUACUGGGGCAAGAAAGAAGAAAUCUGUGGUCAGAGAAGGAGGGGUUAGAAUCUCGACAGUUAGAUGAAGCUAAAGAUUCUAUCAUGGAAUGUCAGAGGGGCCAAUGACAGAAGUAAAAGGAAGGUUAUCAAGGCCCUAAUCAGAUCACAAAAGGUGGAUUUGGUGUGCUUGCAGGAGACCAAAAUCCAAGAAAUGUCCCAAGGGGUUAUUCACAGUCUUGGCGUGGGAAGAUUCUUAGGUUGGGGAGCUGUGGAUGCAAGAGGGGCAGCUGGAGGGGUGGUGGUUUUCUGGGAUAAGAGAGUUUUGGAGCUAGUAGGCCUGGAAGUGGGAAUCUUCUCAAUCUCGUGUCAAUUUAAGAAUUGCGAGGAUGGGUUUAUGUGGUUCUUCACAGGGGUCUACGGACCUACUAUGAAAAGGUUUAGAGAACCUUUUGGGGAAGAGUUAGGUGUUAUUCGAGGUUUGUGGUCUGAUCCCUGGUGCAUCGGUGGGGACUUCAAUGUUAUUAGAUUUCCCAGUGAACGGAGUAGAGUUGGAAGACUAUCUGGUCCUAUGAGAAGGUUUUCAGAGGUGCUAGAUGAGUUGGCUUUAAGAGAUAUGCCUCUUCAGGGGGGUCCUUAUACGUGGAGUGGGGGGUUAAAUGGCCAAUCCUGGUCGAGAUUGGAUCGCUUCCUGAUUUCGGAGGAUUGGGAAAACCAUUUUAGUGGAGUGUCUCAGUGCACACUACCAAGGCCUGUGUCUGACCAUUACCCAAUCCUCUUAGAUGGGGGUGGUGUUAGGAGAGGUCCUAUCCCUUUCCGUUUUGAGAAUAUGUGGUUGAAGGAUGAGGGAUUUAAGGAGCUUCUGAGGGGUUGGUGGCAAGGUUUUAAUUGCAGUGGUUCAUAUAGCUUUGUCCUCACAGAAAAACUAAAGGCUUUAAAAGUUAAGCUGAAGAAUUGGAAUAAGGAAGUCUUUGGUAAAGUGGGAGUAAAUUUGAGGAUGGCUUUGGGCAGAGUUUCUUUCUGGGAUGAUCAGGAGAGGCAGAGAACGUUAAACGAGCAGGAGUUAGAGGCUAGAAAGGAGGCCAAGGAGGAGUUUAAAAAGUGGGCGAUUAUGGAGGAAAUCUCGUGGAAGCAGAAAUCAAGACAAAUAUGGUUGAAGGAAGGAGAUAAGAACACGGGGUUCUUUCAUAAGAUGGCGAACUCUAACAGUAGAAGGAAUUGUUUGAAAAAGAUUAAAGUCAGAGGUAUUUGGCUUUCAGACAAGCAAGAUAUUCAAAGGGGAGUGGUGAGGGCCUAUCAGGAUCUGUUAUCGGAUCCUGGUGGCUAGCACCCGAGUAUGAGCAGCUUGGAGUUUGAUAGUAUUGGAAGAGAGGAGGCUGUCAGGCUGGAGGAGAUGUUCUCUUUGGAAGAAGUGUAUCUGGCCCUUUCGGAGCUAAAUGGGGACAAGGCUCCUGGACCGGAUGGAUUUCCCAUUGCCUUCUGGCAGUUUUGUUGGGAUUUUGUCAAAGACGAAAUUAUGGGCUUCUUUAAGGAUUUUUUUGAGAGGGGAAAAUUCGUUAGAAGUCUCAACUCCACGUUUCUGGUUUUAGUCCCCAAGAAAGGUGGGGCUGAGGAUUUACGUGACUAUAGACCCAUCAGCUUGGUGGGUGGUCUGUACAAGAUUCUCGCCAAGGUUCUAGCCAAUAGGCUGAAGAAAGUAGUGAGUAAGGUGGUGUCUUCGGCCCAAAAUGCCUUUGUUGAAGGAAGGCAAAUCCUUGACGCAGCGUUAAUUGCUAACGAGGCCAUAGACUCGAUGCUGAAAGGGGAUGAAGCUGGUGUGUUAUGCAAGCUGGACCUAGAGAAGGCUUAUGACCAUAUUAACUGGGAUUUUCUGAUGUUAGUGAUGCAAAAAAUGGGCUUUGGGGAGAAGUGGGCCGGCUGGAUCAAGUGGUGCAUCUCCACUGCCUCUUUCUCAGUUCUGAUUAACGGGUCACCAGCGGGUUUCUUCCAAAGCACUCGAGGGUUAAGGCAAGGGGACCCCAUUUCCCCCUACUUGUUUGUCUUAGGAAUGGAGGCCUUAAGUUGCCUCAUUAACAAAGCGAUUAGGGGGGGCUUCCUUUCCGGCUGCAGACUAAGGGGAAGGGGUGGAAAUGGGAUUCAAGUAUCUCAUUUAUUAUUUGCGGAUGAUACGCUGGUCUUUUGCAAGGACUCCCAAGACCAAAUGGUUGUUCUAAGCUGGCUUUUAAUGUGGUUUGAAGCCAUUUCUGGUCUGAAUAUUAACUUGGAAAAGAGUGAAAUUCUGCCGGUGGGAAGUGUUGAGAAUGCUGAGGUCUUGGCUUCUAAAUUGGGCUGCAAAGUGGGGUCUCUUCCUUCCACUUACUUGGGGCUGCCUCUAGGUGCUCCUCACAAAUCAGUGGUUGUGUGGGAUGGUGUGGAAGAAAGGAUGAGGAAGAGACUCGCUCUAUGGAAGAGGCAGUUUAUUUCUAAGGGGGGGAGACUCACUCUCAUUCGGAGCACUUUGGCUAGCAUGCCGAUUUAUCUUAUGUCCUUGAUGCGUAUCCCAAGAGUUGUAAGAUUGAGGCUUGAGAAAAUCCAAAGGGAUUUCCUUUGGGGAGGGGGUGCGUUGGAGAAGAGGCCUCACCUUGUAAAUUGGGAUGUGGUGCGCUCUCAAAAAAUGAAGGGUGGAUUGGGGAUCAGAAAUUUUUCUAUCCUCAAUAGGGCCCUGUUGUGUAAAUGGAGCUGGCGCUUUGCGGCUGAAAGAGAUUCUUUUGGAAACUUGUUAUCAGCUCGAAGUAUGGGGAAGAAGGAGGGUGGAUCUCUUGUGAGGUUAGGGAAGGCUAUGGGGUGGGGUUGUGGAAGGAAAUUAGAAAGGAAGGCGUUUUGUUGUUUAAAAACGCUUCCUUCACUGUAGGGGAUGGUAGAAGGGUGAAAUUUUGGAAGGACAUUUGGUGUGGAAACACUCCCCUAUGUGAGGCUUUUCCUUCUCUGUUUGCCUUUGCGGUUUCCCAAGAUGCGUGGGUAGAGGAUUGUUGGGAUUAUAUGGGGGAUGCAGGGGGAUGGAAUCCUUGUUUCUCUAGGUCUUUUAAUGACUGGGAGCUGGAGGUGGUGGCGAGUCUCCUUUCGGUCCUUCAAGGAAAGAGGCUCAAUGUUGGGAUGGAGGAUAAAGUGGUGUGGAAUGCUUCUAAGAAUGGGAGUUUCUCUGUAAAAUCCCUUUACAAUACUCUGGAUUCUGGUGGUGCAGUCCCGUUUCCGUGGAGAAUCAUAUGGAGCCCUUGCAUGCCUACUAAGGUGGGUUUUUUUGCUUGGGAAGCUUCUUAGGGGAAGGUCCUAACCCAAGAUCAUCUCAAAAGGAGGGGCUGGUCUCUAGCAAACAGAUGCUUCUUAUGUUGUGAUGAUGAGGAGACUAUUAACCACAUCCUUAUUCAUUGCCCCAAGGCGAAGGUGUUGUGGAAUCUUAUGUUUACGAUGUUUAGGGUUAAUUGGGUUCUUCAGCUCACAGUUAAAGACACUCUCCUUGGCUGGUCCGUUUCCUUUGUAGACAAGAAGCGUGGGAAGAUUUGGCGGGCAGCCCCCCUUUGUUUAUUUUGGACGAUGUGGAAAGAAAUAAAUAGGAUAGCUUUUGACAAUGAGGCUUUGUCGAUCCAAAGAUUGAAAACCUCCUUCGUUUGUAAUCUUUCCUCUUGGACUAAGUCUUGUUUAGAUGGAGAGCCCCACUCCUUAAUUAAUUUUGUAGAUUGGUUGGGCUCUAAUUGAGGGUUGGUGAGUGUAUGCUUCCUUGUGCUUUUUGUUUUUGGGGCCUCUCGUGUAUACUUCCUGUAUGCUUUGGGUUCCCUUCUUGCUUCCCUCUUUUUAAUAUAAUUUUUCUGUGUUUAUCUAUCAAAAAAAAAAAUAUUUUAUUUUUGUGUAAAAGAAUAAUAGUUUUUAUAAGUCAACAACUUUGCUUAUAUUCAUGCUCAGACAUCACCCGGUGCAUCAUACACUAUCAGUUGAAUAUGGAAAAAAAAUCAACUUACCUAAAUAAAAAGAAAAAGAAAAGAAAAGAAAUAGAUGAUUGCCACAUUAUAUGGGAAUUCAAAUUAUAAACUUAGGGAUCCCUAGAUAAAGAAAACAAAAAAGGGCAUAUGUUGCAAGAAUAGAGGCACAUACCUUGAUUGCCACAUAGUCACCAAGACUUUCAACAACUCAUAUGCAUCGCCAGGUAUUAUAGACGAAACAGCUGCCCUCAUCUGAUGGAGAAGAUAUAUAGAGAAAGAGUCAUAAGACAAACUGAAAUAGAAAAAACAAACACAUGAAACCAAAAAUACACCACUAGCAAUCUCUUUUCUAUUUCCGCAAAGAAACACACCUUCUUUGGAGGCAUAUUUUCUUCAAGACUGAUACCCUUAAAUUUUCUAGAAUUAAGCAUUGAAUUGGAUGUAAGAUCAUCUUUGUUAUCAAGCAACCCUAAUGAUCUCAGCUGCUCCUCCAAACAAGAAGUUUCAUUGGAAGCUUCAACUGAUUCCAAGCCAUCUGCAUGUACUAACAUAACAAAAAAAAUUGGACCAGGAAGAAGCAAAAUCCCUGAAGGGUAACUCCCUAACAGGAGUAGUUAAGUACAAAAAUAUUAUGACCAUAUACUUUGAGAACCUUUUCCACUAUACCAAAAGUUGAAGUCACAAUUCAAGUAGUUUUAACAGGAAGGGAAAUUCUGAAAGAGAAGUUUAUUGUUGAUUUGUGCACAUCUGAGUUUGUCAAGAAUUUGCUCAACUUAAACAAGAGUCUAACAUUGAGAUAUACACCAAAUAUUAAGAUAUCAAGAUAUUUACAAUGCCACCAACAACUCCAGACAGCUCAAGGAAAUUCAUUAGAUUGCACAAAAUUCAGGAUAUUAACUCAACACACAACCCUUCUGAAGACAUAAAAGUCCACACUGCUUCCAUCAACAAAAGCAGUGGAACAAACCCAUAAAACAUCAAUUACCAAACACAAAACAGGAUUUAUGAUCAUAUUUAUUAAAGAUGGCAUAUUCUUACAUCAAAAUCCAAGCCCAUUGCCAUCCUCAUCCUCUUGUCAAUAAAUAUUGUUAAUGGUGAACUGAAAAUCCAACUUUUCAAUGGGUAACUUGCUCUCUUGUUGAGUAGAGCAAAUAACCACAGGAAGGCAACUUUAUUUCAUGAAUAUGAGCCUUAAACAUGAGGUAGGAUUUAAAUUCAAAAUUCUGCCAACCACAUUCAGUUCAUUUAAUUUUACCUCCUCUCUGCUUCUUCCUCCAUCUUGAGGUCAAAAUCCAGCUUCCUAGUUCCAACUUCCAUUAGUGUUUCUUGAAUUUUCCUUUCCUCUACCAAAUGGCAGUAGAGUCUAUAUUGUGUCUCCAAGCAUAUGCAAAAGGAAAUACGGGAUAGACCAAAGUACCACAAGAACAUGUCAUUGCUUUUAGUGUGAGGAGAGAUCUAAAACCAAAUUUCCAUCAAAACCAUUUGAUUUAUGUAACCAUUCUUAUAGACAUCCUUCAGGAUGAUCAGGCUCAACAAACCAUCUUGAAGAAAAUAUUAAUGGUCAAGGAACCAUUGUAGGCCCCCAAUAAAAUGGAGAUUGCCCCAGUGAAAGCAACCAAUAAUUCAGUGACUCUACCAACAAAUUACAUAAGAGUUGUGUAGCUAAAAUUAGGAAACUGCUCUGGAAGAAAGUUAAGCGUACCUUUGCUUUCCACAGCCUUAUUUUGACUCCUGACAUUCAUCAAAUCAUCAGCCAUUAUCUCAUCGGGGUCAAUAUUUGAGUUUUGAUAUCUUUUAUUUUUUUCAUGAAAAUCAAAAAUCUUGGGGAUUGGAAGCAAGGCUUCUUCAGCAUUUGCACGGUCUAAAGCAGUAACUGUCAAAUAAUUAAACAAGUAUUUAGUGAUCCAUAUAAAAUGUAGAACAAAAAUUAAAAAUUUUCACAUGGGACUAUAGGGAUAAAUGUAAAAAUUUCCAUUUCUUUUUACCAUCCAUACAACAACUAUUUGAUAUUUCAAAAAAAAAUACGAAAACUUUCAGACUAACAAACCAUAAACAUCAAAUCAAGCCAAAAUUGUAAAGAGAAGACUUGGAGAACACUGAGAAAAACCAUUCCUGAGGACACAUGGAUGAAACAUUAUAAAAGACAAAAAAUAAAAUAAAAUAAAAAUUAAACAAUCAAAUGAUCUAAUUGUAUGCAUCAAAAUCAACUCUGGGAAAAUGUCGGUUGGGGGGACUUUCUUACGCGUGGAAAAAUGGAGCCCCGAAACGGGGUGUGUGAUGGAAGGGGAAGCUAGAAGCGAGGCUUGGGUGAGGAUAGUGGGGUUACCGGUCUCGUUAUGGGACUGGGACAUUCUGAGAAGAGUAGGGGAGGAAUGUGGGGGAUUCUUGGCAGUCGACACGCAAACGGAGAAGCUGGAGGAGUUGCAGUGGGCCCGGAUACUGGUGAAGGUAAACGGUGACGAGCUUCCUAAUGCGGUGGAAAUUUGGGUUGAUGAGAGGUGCUAUGUGCUAACCCUGUGGUGGGAAGUCAGACCGCUUCUGAGGAUUUUUCCGACUGAAAAAAGCGGGAAGAGAGCUGUGGUAGAUGUCGACAUUGGGGGUGAGGCAGAUACACGCGCGGGGAAGCGCGUGGUGGAGGAGGGUAACGACACGAGGCUCGAGGUCAUGAUUCAGUCUGCAGAUGGGAUGCAGAGUCAGACGUAUGGGUCAGGGCGUCCUAUGGGCUCUAUUCGGAGCCAUGAUGGGGUGUUGGGCCGGACCCGUGGAGGCAGGCCAUUGCUGGGUGGCUCCCCCAAGAAGGGCCCAGUUGAGGUCCCUCUCCCUAGUCUAGAAGUGGAUUUAGCUUUUGGUUCUUUUGGGCCGUGUCUUAAUGGGCUGUGCACAAGGAAGGAUUCUGGGCAGACCAAGGAUAAUGGAUUAAAUGAGGAGCCUGGGCUGGUAAGGGUUCAGCCCCAUUCAGUGCCAGUGGGCAAAGCCCAAGUGGGAGAGGCCACUUCUUCAAAGAGACUAGAUCCAAACUGCUUGGGAUGGCCAAAAUCAGAGUCUUCCAUUUUCUGGGAGAAGGAUGGCUUAAGAAAGCAAUUUGAAAUAGAAAUCCAAGUUGUGGAGAAAUCAAAGACUGAUCUUGCCCUAAUUGAGGAAGCUUCGAGGUAUGGGAAUGCUUUUAAUCUUAAAGGAGCAUUAGUCUCUGGAUUCUCUUCCCCUUUCUCUUUUUUUCAUGGUCGGACUCCUGAAAGGGAGUAUUACGACUAUUCUGGGACCGUGUGUGAGACCGUCCAGGGGGAAACGCCGUUAUGUAUGCUCAAUGCUUCGGGCUUCACGGAGGGUAAAACCGUUACUCAGUGGGAGCUGGUGGAGGCAAACAACGGUUGCAGUGAAGUAAGCAGAGCGGAAUUGAGACCAGAUCAAUCUAAGCCUCAAGAAGGUAGAGAUUGGGAGGAGGCCAGUUGGGAGGAGAGUGAUUUGGCUAGGUUCAGCAAUUUCUUGGGGUUCUCCACAGAGGGACUGGAGAAGGAUAUCAUGGACUUUCUGGUUAAAAUUAGAAAGAGAAGGGAAAGAAUCCAUAGUAAAUCUUUGUUGGAAAAAUCUAAAUUUGAGAGGGAGUUAAGAAGACUAGAGUGUUCUAUCAACUACGAAGGAGGGAAAAGACAGAUUGGUGGUAGGCAAGGAAGAGGGUGUCAAAUCUUAGAAGUCCUAUGAAGUUAAGACUAUUGAGUUGGAAUGUCCGUGGAGCUAAUGAUAGUUCCAAAAGGAAGGUGAUUAAGGCCCUGAUUAGAAGCCAGCGGGUGGAUGUGUUCUGCCUCCAAGAAACAAAAAUUCAAGCUAUGUCGGAGGGUGUGAUGAGAAGCUUGGGUAUGGGUAGGUUCCUAGGUUGGGGGGCCUUAGAAGUUUCAGGCUCUGCAGGAGGGAUUUUGGUAUGUUGGGAUAAAAGGACGUUGGAUGUGCUCGAUGUGGAGGUGGGCCAAUUCUCAAUUUCCUGUAGAGUCAGGAAUGUAGAAGAUGGUCUAAUUUGGAUGUUCACAGGAGUGUAUGGACCUUUCUCUAGAGAGGAAAGGGAUUGUUUGUGGGAGGAGCUAGGAGCGAUUAGAGGUCUUUGGGAUGUUCCUUGGUGCUUAGGGGGGGACUUCAAUAUUACCCUCUUUCAAGGGGAAAGAAGCAGGCAAGGAAGGAUUACUGGGGCGAUGAGAAGAUUCGCCCAGAUGGUGGACGAGCUUGAGCUGAUUGACCUUCCUUUGCAAGGGGGGAGGUGUACUUGGAAUGGGGGUAGGGAGAGUCAGUCGUGGGCUAGGCUCGACAGAUUCUUGGUGACCCAGAAUUGGCUUGAUCAUUUCAGUGGGGUGAUUCAGAGCAGGCUGCCAAGACCCACUUCAGACCACUUUCCCAUUUUGCUGGAGUGCGGAGGUCUUAGGAGGGGUCCCUCCCCGUUUAGGUUCGAAAAUAUGUGGCUUAAAGUUGUUGGGUUUAAGAACUUGCUUCGGGGGUGGUGGCAGGAGACUGUGGUGAGAGGGAAUGCCAGCUUCAGACUGGCCUCAAAGUUGAAGGAGUUGAAGAAGAAGAUCAAAGUGUGGAAUAGGGAUGUAUUUGGUCGGUUGGAAGUUAACAAAAACUUAGCUCUCCAUCAAGUAGAGCACUGGGAUGGGGUGGAAAAUGAGAGGAUCCUUUCAGAGAGGGAGACAGAGCUAAAGAAAGAAGCCAAGGAAACCUAUCAGAAGUGGGUGUUGCUGGAAGAACUCCAUUGGAGGCAACUGUCCAGGGAACUUUGGUUAAAGGAAGGGGAUAAGAACACAGGCUACUUCCAUCGAAUGGCAAACGCACACCAAAGAAAUAAUACAUUGGACAGAAUCAAGAUUAAUGGGGUAUGGCUGUCGGAGGAGCAGGAGGUGAAGGAGGGGAUUGUCAAUGCCUUUCAGCAGCUUCUCUCAGAAGAGUCAGGCUGGAAAGCUGACAUAGAGGGGUUGCAUCUAAGUCAUUUAAGUAGUCAAGAAGCUGGAAAUUUGGAGUUACCUUUCUCUGAAGAUGAAAUACAUUCUGCCUUGAUGGAUAUGGAUGGGGACAAAGCCCCAGGCCCGGAUGGGUUUACAGUAGCUUUUUGGCAAGAAUGCUGGGACUUUGUGAAGGAGGAGAUCCUGGAGUUAUUCAAGGAAUUUUAUGACCAAAGAUCUUUUGCAAAGAGCUUGAAUACAACGUUUCUGGUUCUUAUUCCAAAGAAAGGAGGCGCCGAGGAUUUGGGUGACUUUAGGCCGAUCAGCCUAUUAGGGGGAUUGUACAAGCUUUUGGCUAAGGUGUUGGCAAAUAGGCUGAAGAAGGUCCUAGGAAGGGUGGUUUCCUUGGACCAAAAUGCGUUUGUGAAGGGGAGACAAAUAUUGGACGCUUCGCUUAUAGCUAACGAGGUGAUUGAUACUUGGCAAAAACGCAAGGAGAAAGGGUUGAUUUGUAAACUGGACAUUGAAAAAGCCUAUGACAGCAUAAAUUGGGAUUUUCUUAUGAAGAUUCUGUGUAAAUUGGGCUUUGGGUCUAGGUGGAUGGAGUGGAUCUGGUGGUGCAUUUCAACUGCCAAAUUCUCUGUUCUUGUUAAUGGAGUGCCAACAGGCUUCUUUUCAAGCACCAAGGGGUUGCGUCAGGGAGACCCCCUUUCUCCUUACCUUUUUGUCUUGGGUAUGGAAGUGCUUAGUGCACUUUUAAGAAGGGCUGCUGUCGGGGGUUUCUUUUCAGGCUGCAGAUUUUGGGGGAGGAGCAGGAUGGAGUUAAAUGUCUCUCAUUUGCUUUUUGCGGAUGACACAAUUAUUUUUUGUGAAGCAAGGAAAGAAAACAUGACUUUUCUAAGCUGGAUUCUGGCUUGGUUCGAGGCUGCGUCUGGGUUAAGGAUAAAUUUAGCCAAAAGUGAGUUAAUUCCAGUUGGCGAGGUGGAAGAGAUUGAGGAGAUGGCCGUGGAGCUAGGUUGUAGGGUGGGGUAUUUGCCCAAUGUGUAUUUGGGGCUGCCGUUAAGGGCUUCCCACAAGGCUUCCUCGAUGUGGGAUGGGGUGGAGGAGAAAAUGAGGAGAAGAUUAGCCUUGUGGAAAAGGCAAUAUAUUUCCAAAGACGGGAGGGUUACCCUCAUUAAGAGCACACUGGCCAGCAUGCCAAUUUACCAAUUGUCCCUCUUUCGAAUGCCCAAGAUGGUGGCAAGAAGGCUCGAAAAGCUACAAAGAGACUUCCUUUGGGGAGGGGGAAGCUUGGAAAGGAAAGUUCACUUAAUUAAUUGGGAGGUGGUGUGUGCUCAAAAGGAGAAGGGGGGUCUUGGCAUUAGGAGGAUUGCCCUUUUGAAUAAGGUUUUGCUGGGAAAAUGGUUAUGGAGGUUUGCCUUUGAAAAGGAUAAGCUUUGGAAGAAGGUGAUUAUGGAGAAGUUUGGUCAAGAGGGCCUUGGUUGGAGGACUAAUGAGGCUCGUGGGACGUUUGGAGUGGGAGUUUGGAAGGAGAUUCUGAAGGAGGCUGAUUGGUGUUGGGAUAACAUAGAGUUCAAGGUGGGUAAAGGGACCAAAGUUAGGUUCUGGACUGACCAUUGGUGCGGCAAUGCAGCGCUGUCUCAAAUUUUCCCCCUUUUAUUCGAAUUGGCAGCUCAUAGGAAUGCAACGGUUAAUGAAGUUUGGGACCCUAAUUUUGGCCAAGGAAGUUGGAACAUCAGUUUCUCUAGAGACUUUAAUGAUUGGGAGGUGGAUUUGGUAGGUAAUUUGCUGUCUAUGCUAAGGGACUACAAAAUUUCUUCAGAGGAGGAUUCGGUUUUCUGGAAAGGUGGGGGAAGUGGCAUUUUUAGGGUUAAGGAGGCUUACAAUCUGCUUGUUGAUUCAAAUGAUAUUGUAUUUCCGAAAAAGUGCAUUUGGGUGGACAAGGUCCCAACUAAAGUUGUGUUUUUUGCUUGGGAGGUCACGUGGGGGAAGGUUCUAACCCUGGAUAGGCUUCAAAAUAAGGGGGUGGCAGCUCCCUAACCGAUGUUUUUUGUGUGGGUGUGAAGAAGAAACUGUAAAUCACAUUCUUCUACAUUGUACAGUGAUCCGGGUUCUUUGGGAGAUUGUCCUAGUCUUGUUUGGCAUUCAGUGGGUGUUUCCAUAAACGAUUAAAGAUAUGCUUUUCAGUUGGAGGGGUUCUUUUGUGGGGAAAAAAAGGAAAAAGACUUGGAUUUCCAUCCCGUUGUGUAUUUUUUGGACGGUUUGGAAGGAAAAGAAUAGAUUAGCUUUUAGGGGGGGAUUCUUAUCUAUACAGAAACUCAAAAAUUCUUUUGUAUGUAAUCUGUGGAGUUGGGCUAGGGUGUAUAUUGGAGAGGAGUCCUCUUCACUCUUAGGUUUUCUAGAGUGGCUAGCGUCCACUUGAGGGUAGGUGUGGUUGUGGGCUUCUUCUGGUUUUUGGGUUUGGCUGCUUUGUAUACGUCCUGUAUGCUGUGUGGCUUUUUGCCUUUUUAAUCUAAUAUCUGCUUACUUAUCAAAAAAAAAAAAAUCAAACAAAUACUAAAAAUAAGAAGAUUUCACAGGAGUUGAUGGCUCCCACCUAAAGAAUCUCCAUGCCAAAGAUUAAGAUUGCCCUUUUUCACCCAUCUUUGAUAUUUUUAUGGAACCAUAAAAGAUAAGGAAAAUGGUCAAAGAAAUGGGCAGCAAGAGACCACUACCAUCCAGGUGUAUCAAGUUUGAUCAGAAGCAAAUCAUUUUUGUAUAAAACCUAGUUUAUUCUAUGAAAGAAAAACUUCAUUGUAAAUAAAAUAUGAAUUUCCAAAACUUUUGUACAGGUUUCUAAGACAUUAGGAUCCAUACUGUAGUGUUCAACUAAUUAAAACAGAGUCAAUAGUAAAAAUUUUGAUCAAGCCUUACCUCCAUCUUUCACACCAAGCCCUUUCUUAGAUUUAUGAGACUGGUCCAUUGGUAGAAGGAUACCAUCCUGGGAGAUGUUUAUCUUGAUGUCUGUGCCAGAAUGCACUAUGACUUUCUGAAAUGACGGCUUUACUAGUGAACCAUAGGCAACAAAUACAUCACCUGAUGCAGGUUUGACAACACCUUGUAAUUUCGCAGCAAAUAUUGUAGGCAAUGAACCCUUGUGAUUCUUAGAGAAGUUGUCUUCAAGAGAUACUGAAACUUUUGUGGGCUUUGUAUUACGUAAGUCCUCCAUAUUCUUUGCAUACCAAAAAUAACAAACACCAAUUUCAGAAAUAGCCAAGACAUAUAAGCCUGACUUAUCUGUAUCCCCAUUGUCAAUGCACCUGCUAUCUAGGAAGACAGCAGGGUGCUCCAUUGCAAGAACACAGCUGGCUGACUGUUUUUUGCUACCAUCAAUUCUCCAAACUGCAAUAUAUCUCUCACCAAUAGCAGAUGAUAGGAUGUACUCCCCAUCAUCAGUAAAGAUCAUACAGCGAACAGCUCCCUGUUAAUGAGUGAAGAGAUAAUUUACUCAACUAUGAACAGAAAAUAAAAAAGAUAACCAGUUUACUCCACACAUCAGGUUGAUUGUUUUGAAUGAGAUGAAAUAGGAGUAAACUUGAUAAGAAAUAUAAAAACUGAAUAGGACUCACAGGAUGACCAGAAAACUUCUGUAUCUUCUUGUGAUCAGAAGAAUUGAGGAUCUUUAAUUGAGCAGCUGCAGUCGCCAAUACCUUUCCAUCUGAGGUGGACAAAUUCCCAUCCAAGUGGCAUUAUCAUAAAAAGAAGAGUAAUCAGCAUACUGAAAAAUCUUGCAUUCUGGUUUCCAGCAUAGACAAUUUCCUGUCUUCCCAGUGGCUUUUAAUGCUUUAUUCUUGUAAUAUUAGUAAAUUGUCCAUUUUGUGUAUUCAUUUAAUAGUAACCAUAGAGCCAUCUUCAAGACAUGAGCUCCAUCAUUCCACAUGACAUUCUUCAUAAAAUUUUUUUUUUUUUUUUAUCAGUGACAUUCUUCAUAAAAUAUUUAAUUCAGUUGACAAUCAAACACUAAUUUACCAUCGAAUAAUGUGUUUGCUUCUACAUAAAAUAAAGCAACAGCAACUCAAAAGCUAAGGGCAAAGACCUGACGAAACAGACAUAGAUGAUAUUGCCUUUGUAGAAGCUCUAAACUUCCCCAAUAGGUUUCCUGCACUGGAAUCGAUUUUGGAAAUCAUCCCAUCAGCUCCAGCAGCAUAAAUGCAUGAACCAUCAGUAGAACAUGAAAUAGCACUAACACCCCUGCACAUUGUAGAAGCAAAUCCGGUUGAUCAGGCAUUCCAAGUGUAAAUGCUGUGUUUUAACAUUAUGAAUAUUCAGCCCGCAUCAUCCAUUUAAUUAAUAGAGUUUGUCCAUUAAAUUCUCAGAGUGAGAGAGAGAGCGAGAGAGAGAGACCAGCAUGCUACAAAUGGCAUUCCAUCACCUAAAACACAAUAAACUUUUUUGGUCUCACCAUCCGGUCACAGCAAUAUAAUUUGAAUUGAAUAGUAAUGGCUUAACUCAAUUCCUCAUUUUCUACCAUGUCUUCUAUGUACUUUAGACAGAAAAUGUGCAUUAGUAUAUCACAUCACUGUAUCUAAUUUAAGAAUCAAUCAUAAGAAGGAAUUUGAUGCAAUUCAAAUUGCAGAUAAAUAAAUGAGAUUAUAGAUAUUAGAAGAACAAAAAAGUUUUGAAAAACAAGGUUCAUCCUUUGGUCCUAAUAAUACUUGCUAUUUUUUUUUUUUAUAAGUAAACACAAAAAAUAUAUAUAUAUUAGAAGAAAGGGCGCCUUAAGGUUGACCCAAAGCAUACAGGGGCAUACAAGAGGCGCCAAAAAGCAAAAACAAAAAGAAGAGGAGAUACAAAAUAUUACCAGUCCUCAUCUAGAACCCAACCAAUCAAAAAGGUUGAUUAAAGGAAGAGGUCCUUCAUCUAUAAUCAACUUAGUCCAAAACCAAAAAUUACAUACAAAAGAAUUUUUCAUCCUAUGAAUUGAAAGCUCCUCAUUUUCAAAAGCAAUUAUAUUUCUUUCCUUCCAAACCACCCAAAAAAGACAUAAGGGGGCUGUCAUCCGCACCUUACUACGCUUCUUGCCCAUGUUGAUACCAUGUCAACCAAGAAGGGUAUCUCUAACCAAAUAAGGAAGCACCCACAUCACUCCAAAAAGAGCAAACAAUAACUCCCAUAAAAUUCUUGCCUUGGUGCAAUGAAUUAGAAUAUGAUCAAUAAACUUUUCUUCCGCACAACAAAGGAAGCAUCUAUUAGCUAAAGUCCACCCCCUCUUUUUAAGUUGAUCCAAAGUUAACACCUUACCCCAAGAGGCUUCCCAAGCAAAAAAAACCACUUUAGUAGGAACACAAGGGCUCCAAAUGAUGUUCUUUGAAAACUGAAUAGCACUUCUUGAAUCUAGAGCACUAUAAAGAGAUUUUACAAAAAAAAAUCUCGUCCUUAGUCUCUUUCCACAGCACCCUAUCUUCCAAAUUAGGAUUAAGCCACCUUCUUUGUAUUGUCACUAGUAACUUCCCCACCUCCUCCACUUCCCAAUCAUUGAAAGGCCUAGAGAACCUAGGACUCCAACAGUCCAACCCCCUUCCACGCUCGUUGAGUCCCACAACUCCACUAACCAAGCCUCUUUAGAAGUUGUUAAGGCAUACAAAGAGGAUAAAGAAUCACAAAGAGCAAUGUUCUUGCACCAUUUGUCUUUCCAAAAUUUCACUCUUCUACCAUCCCCCACAAAAAAUACAACUUUGUUUUGCAAAAGAGACUCUUCCUUCUUGAUUUCCUUUCAAAAUCCCACACUAAACCCUUCCCUCACAUCCCUAGUACACCACCCUCCUUCUUCCUCCCCAAACUUCCUACUAACCAAGCCUCCUAAUAAUACUUGCUAUAUUGCAUUAAUUAGAAGGAAUCAAGGGUUAAUUAAGUAUGAAGCAUGAAAUUGUCUAGGAAAUUUGUGUCAAGAUAUGUUAGAAUGAAAGAAAGUUUGAAUAUUGCUCCACAGUAGGAUUGGUUUUUAUUCAUGGCAUAGGAUUUUUUUUCUUAGGCUAGGAUGGAUUGGGUUCAACUAGGCAAUAUUUACAAUAUGAUGAUGAUUUCCUUCAAGUGUUUUAGAAAUUCUAUCAAAGACAGGACUCUUUGGAGGAUAGCAUGUCUCUCCUUGUUGUGGAUUGUGAGGAGAGAGAGGAAUGCUAGGAUUUUCAAGGGUACUUUGAGGACGCCGGAGAUUAUGUGGGAUUCGCUUCAGUUCUAUGUUUCCUUUUGGGCUUAUUGUACAGACAUUUUUAAACCGUAUCCUUUGAGUGUAAUUCAACUUAGUUGGCUGUCGAUUUGAACACCCUAGGGUUGGGUCUACAAGUUCUAGGUUUGUCAUAUGUGUAUAAGCCUUUUGUCCUUUUUGUAUAGUCUUCCUUGUUUAGUAGAGGUUUACUCAGUUUUUGGUUAGGUUUGUACAUCAUGGGGAGGACUUAUCAUCCUUCUCAUGUUUUUCUCUUUUAAUACAAUUGUUUGCCUCUGUUCAAAAAAAAAUAUUGCUCCAACAGUCAGGUCUGGGAAUCAAGCCCUUCAGGAAGCUAUAAGAGGGAUAAAUACCGCAUCCAAACUCAAGUUAACUAACUGAAAGAAAACUCUAGCAACUUACAAAAAAUGUACCUUUACAUUUAAAAAUAAUGAAAAGAAAGAAAGCUGUUAGCAAGGAACUCACCCAGGAUGGCAGUCACCAAUUCUCCACUUCAACUCACCAGCAGAUACAUCAAGUGCUAAAACAUCACCGCUGCCUGUUCCUAGCACUAAUAAUGAACAUCGAAGCUUCCUUUUUUUCUGCCAAUCAUUAACAGAUGACAAAAUAAAGAUAUAGGUUACCAAUCCAAAAAUGUAAUGGCAAAGCAAUUCUUCAAUUAAAUUUUAAUUAAAACAACUAAACAAGGACCUUGCUGUCCAGAGACAACCACUUCAAGCAAGUAUAAUCAACUGAAAGGUGCCCUCUUUCAGGUUUGCUGUAUAAAUUAGUUGUGUCUGUUGAUAUGAUGUCUGCAAAUUCAGUCUGAACCUGACCCUUCAAAGUAUCCCAAAUCUGAACAGAGAAAAAAGUAAAAUUAUAAUCUACAUGAACCACUAAACAAACCACAGGUAACAACCUGUUUCCUCUUUCAACAAAUAUCCCUAUCAAUAUACUUAAACAUUCAUAUAUACAUUAAAAACUAAUAUAGAUUUUCAGAAAUAGCUUACCAACCGGAAGAGGGUUCAAACAAUAAACAAAGACAAAACAAUUCUAGCACUGAUCAUUAAAGAUCCAAAAGUAUAUCAAAUUUAGUAAAAAGAAACAGACCAAAACCUACAAAAUUAUUGUUAAACAAGUGAAAAACAAAACAUUAAAUUAUCUAUUAUCACUCUUGGAGACUGACAGUAUGAAAAUAAGUUCAAAUGCCUCAGAUUCCUUCAUCUCCAUUCUUAAUUCCUAGCCUCUUCAACAACCAAGUUUCAAGUACCUUAAUUCGUCCAUCUCCAGAACUGAUAGCAAAGAAGUCCAAAGAAGGGCUAAAGGUUGUUAAUAAAUCUCGGAUAUUCGAUGGGCCCAUGGUCCUGUAUCAAAAGAAUAAAUUAAAUGUCAAAGUCCUUACAAUUCAUAAUUUACAAAUUAGAAAUGAAAUUGUAGAUAUACGAGAGGUGUUCCAAGACGUUAUUAAGGGAGAUUGACUGUAACUGCCUAUUGAUAAAGAAACAAAACAACUUACCAUGACGAAAAUAAUAUAGCUCAAAAUCACAGUAGGAAGUGCCAAAAAAAGGUGGCAAUCCUAUGAAACAUAUGAUGAAGAAGAGAUAAAAAAAAUGUAUAAGAAAGUCACAGCAUUAAAAAUUUUAAAGCUCGCCAAUAUGUUGCCAAUCCAGUAAAUCAUUUCAUUAACUAAACUGAUUCAGCACUCAAGCUCUAAUAACCUUCGUUUGGUAGCGGAGAAAAUGGAAGAGAAGGAGGAAAAAAAUGCAAUAUCAUGCUAUCUGUUACUGAAUCAAGCCAAACAAUUCAGUUAAACUUGGCUAAACAGCAGUUUUAGCUUUCUCAGCCUGAGUAACGAAAAUUCAAGAUUUUAUCUCUUUUACUUUCCUGCAUUUUCUCAGCUUCCCGGUUUGUCUACGGACAAACUAGAGGAAAAUAAAAAGAAACUAAAACCAAAAACCAGGUAUUUUCAGUUGUUCUCCAUAAAAAGCAAACGAAAAAUCAACAGAACUAAAUCCUGAGAAAUUACCGAUCCGGAUCAGGCUGAAUUUCCGGUUCUCUUAGAAAAUCUUAUAUAGCAGUUCCAAUAAGGGACCGUCGUGCAUCAUCAUACUAAUUUUCCUCCGUUUUUCAGCAACCAAACAGAGGAUAAACUUGUUUUGAGGAGAUGAUGCACGCUUACCUGUUUUGGCGACCGGCGGCGGCGAGAAGCAAAGAAAAAGAGAGAACGAGAGAGGGGUUUUACCUGUUUUGGCGACCGGCAGCGGCGAGAAGCAAAGAAAAAGAGAGAACGAGAGUGGGGUUUUAGGAACGCAGCCGCGUAGCUGCUCUUUUCACAAGGGCCCCUUUUUUUUUCUUUUUCUUUUUUUCUUUUUUUUUUUUCAAUUUUAGGAUUUUUCAUUUUAGCCUCCAUAUUUGAGUGUAUUUAGAUUUGUGGAACCUGUUUUGGGGCUUUUUGUUAGGUACAAUUGAGAUGGGCUGAACCAAAAAGCCCGCCAGGAUGAACAACAUUAAUGGGCCUGAAUUUUAAACCUGUGGAUGGGCUUUGUACUGGAUUCAGCUGUCUGAGCCCAAUGAGUGUUGAAUGUGUUUCUAUAUAAAAUUAAAUUUUUAACAUUGAAAUAUAAGGACUUACUUAAAAACACAUUUGGUAACUCUAUUUUUUUUGGUUAAUAAUGGACUUUAAGAAAAAUAUAUUAUUUUUUAGAAUAAAUUUGAGGCAUGUUUAGGUAUUUUUUGUGGUAAAGAGUUUUGAGAAACAAUGGGAAANNNNNNNNNNNNNNNNNNNNNNNNNNNNNNNNNNNNNNNNNNNNNNNNNNNNNNNNNNNNNNNNNNNNNNNNNNNNNNNNNNNNNNNNNNNNNNNNNNNNUACUUACACGAGGCUUUCAUGAAAAAUAAAUCAAUAAAAACAAUUUUCAUAUUUGAAUUUUGAAACAUAAAACAACUCAGAACUGUUUUUAAAAAUUGUUCUUAAAAAUAGUUUUUUAUUAAGUCACCUUCAAGGAAGCUUUUAUCUUUUAUUUUUCUAUGUUUCAUCCUUGCAUAAAGGGAGUAUAAAGACGUAAGUUAAUCUAAUUAACAAAUAUAGAUAAUCAUCCGAUAAAUGAGUAAAUUAGGUGAUGAUCUCUUUAUAUAUGCAAGUAAUGAAUGUGAUGAAAAAUGAAAAAAAAAUAAGGGGAGAGAUGUUGUAAAUAAAGCGUUUUUAUUGUGGUUCAACUACCUAUCCACUUCCACACCUUGAUAGAUUUCACAAUUUUAAAAGUUUUCUUAAUCAUUAUUCUCCUUAUUAUUCUUUAAGUUUGGAUUUCUUAAGUUUCAAUAGACUUUUACAAUCACUAAGGUGGUGUUUGUUUUUCACUUACUUCCAAAUAUAAGUUAAAACUAAAUAAUACUUAAUAAUAUCAAGUAUUAGGUUGUUUUUUUUUAUAACAUUUUAUUUCUAUAUAAUAUUAAAAAGUAAAGAAAAAUCAAUAUAUUAUUUUUUUCAUUAAAAAAAAGUCAAAUAUUUUGAUUUUUUUAAGCUAAAAAUUUAUAAUAAAAAAUAAAAAAUAAAAAUAAAAACAAAUAAACAAACAACUUAAAGUGUAAAAACAGAUUGUUUUCAACAAAAAUUUAAAAAAACAAACACCUUUUAAAUAAGAUUCCUUAACCACUCGUACAAUAGAUCCUUUAAACACAAAAUGUAAUGAAUGAAUACAACUCUGGUGAAAUGACUAAAGUGCUCACAAUGAAAAGAUAAACAAGUUUGGAUUCAAUAUAAUUUUGGGUUAUCUAAUUAAAAGGGUCAUUAAAAACCCAAUUUUGGAAAUAUAACCUUUCAUCAAUUUUUUACCUCAUUUUAACAAAAAUGCUCUUAUUAUUUUCUUAUAAAAAUAAUCAUUUCUUUUAAACCACACUAUAAAUAUUUCAAAUAGUCAAGGGCUUUUAUGUAAAAAAAAAAUGAAUUACUCUUCAAAUAAAAAUAUUGGAGGGAAUAAAUUCACAAAUAUGGGGUAUUUCAUCCCUUUUAACUAAUUAUUUCUAUAAUUUUAAGAGUUUAAGAAGGCUAGACAAAGACUAAUUAUUAGACACAUUUUGUAAAAACACUAAUUAUUAGACACAUUUUUCGCUCGACACUUUUUUUUUUUAUAAUCAAUGGAAGAUAGGAAUACAAUCUACUACUUUGGUCAAUUAAGCAAUCAUACAAUUGACUACAACCUAGUCAUUAGACAUUUUUUUUUUUAUAAUAAUUAAAAGACAUAAAUACAAUCGAUUACUUUGGUCAAUUAAUCAAUUAUUCAAGAAAUUUAGAAAAAUAUUGGAUAAAAGAUAUAUAUAACGGAUUAUUUCAAAUUGAAACUUAAGAUCAAAAAUCUUGCUUAUAAUGUUGAAAAAUCUUGUAAAACACAAGUUUUUAUCUUUGAAGUAAUCAAUUUCAUUUUUCACAAAAAAAUCAUUAAUAAUACAUGAAUGAAUUCUUUUAAAAAAUCUUAUAAAAAAUGUGAUUAUUUUUCAUUCCCAAAUACUUAGGUUCUAAAGGUCAAUUUUAAAGCAUACUUAUCCUUACUAUGCCUUACAAGAAAAACUAUUCUAUACAUAUGAUCUUGUAAAAAAGUGUAAAUAAAAAAAUAAUAAAAAGAAAAAAGAAAAAAAAAACCUCCCUUGUUUUCCUCUUUUGACCGGAUAUCAUUAUCAUACUUAAAAUUAAAUAUUUAAUCAAAAUAUUAUUUUACUAUCAUCAAAAUUUAGAUUUAACCAAACUUUAGGCUAGUAUGUUGAUAUGACAAGUUAAUUUUCUAUCUUAAAGUUUUAAAAACUUUUGAAAUUAAACAUUUUCUUACACAUUUAUUUUUAAAGUUUUUAGCAUAAAAUUUAAAAUUGAAGCUUUUAAAGGAAAACCUCAUAAUAUAAUAUACUAGAGAGACAUGGUCAAACAAAUAGAGACGAAGCCUCAAAAGGAAGGGGCAAUGGUUGAACCACUUGACAUUGUUGCCUACUACUAAGAUGGUGUAAGAAACAACAUAACCAAUGGAACAUAUGCACAUUAAACAUAGUACAAUUAUUAUAAAUGUCUUAUACAUUAUGUGUGAAAAUACGAAAUAAAUAAAUAAAAUUAUAUUCAACAUUUAUAUUUGUAUACAAACAAUAUUUUCCGAUAGUUUGAUAUAAAAAAACAAAUAAAAAAAAAUGAAGAAAAACAUAUAAAUAUAUUUUCAAUGGACAAACUUAUUCAAUUAGUAUAAAUAUCUUGUAUAUUUAAUACAUAUACCUUAUACUUUGUGAAAAUGCAAAAAUAUAGUAUUUGAUAUUUAUACAUGUGGGUAAGUAAUUUUUCUAAUGGUUUGAUUUAAAAAACAAAUAAUGAUAAUCAAGAAAAACAUGCAAAUAAAUUAGUGUGAAUGAUAAAGGGUGUUUUUUACCAUAAAUUUUCAUGGGCUUAGCAUCAAUUAUGCAUCUAUAGAUGUUAACCCAAUUAGCAUAAUGUGAAAACCCUUACACACAAUAUAUAAACCCUAUACUUGAAUUAGGAAGGACAAAAAAAAAAAAUAGUUAGAGCAUUUGGUACCAUCAAUGAUGACUUCACCUAAAAAAAAGGUUAAUGAACAUUAUGUUUUCACUGGAAGAGCAACUCUGGUAGGACAUAUGAAGUAAAUCAAUGCUCUUUUUUUAACGACGAAGUAGCGAAGUCAAGAUAAUAAGGUUUUACUAACAACAUUAAAGACACGAAUUCCCCAAUAUACUCCAAUUCAUAUUCAAUUGACAGAGCAAACCCAAGUCAACACAUAAGAUUGAUUAUUACUUGUGAUAAUUGAAACCCUAAUUAAAUAAUUAAUGACACAAAUAUAUACAUAAAAAAUAGGGACAUUUGUAUUUUGGACCUCAGGUGAGUCCAAAAAUUAAGGUUUGGUUAAUAUAACUUACAUAAUUGACGAAAAUGAUAUAAGUUAUCAAAAGACCAAAAUACUCAUUGACAUUUCACGUAAGCUUUUUUGGUCUUUAUUGCACCACUAUUCAUGCAACCAUAAUAAUUAUAUUUUAACCAUUUAGAUUUUUCAUUGUUUUUUAAAACUUUUUUUUAUAAAUAAUUGAAAAUUAGCAUUAUUUUCUAUUUUAAAUUAUAAAUAAAGAAAAAUUACGUUCAAAAACUAUUUUAAAAAAUGCUUUCUAAAAAAAUGGUAAUAUGAUUUUAUAUUUUUUAUAUUUUCUUUUAGAAAAAAAAUUUUAAUUAAAAAAUGAAAAAUAAUAAAAAUUGAAAACCUUGUUUAGUACUAUUUUUUAUAUGAAAAUAAUAAAAAGAAUUAAAUUUCAUUCAUUAAUUAUCCAUUAAAUUUUAUAUGAAAAAUUUUUAUAAGAGUAAAAAGAUUCAAUAUCUUUAAAAAAAAACAAAACAAAACAAAAAGUUAAAAAUGAGUAAUACUUAAUUGGGAAUAGAAAAGGGGAAAAAAUACAAAAAAAAAAAUUGAAAUUUACACUCACUAUGUGCCAGGCAGGGAUUAAGGUAGUUUAGGGAUUAAUGAAAGAUAAUAUCAUUUAACUUAAUUUUUACACUUUAUUUGGGUUUUGGGCUUAAAUGUGCAUAAUAUAUGAAUCUUUGGUCAAUUUUUGGGCCCAACUAGGCCCAAAACACAAUUCUCUCUAAAAAAAUAUUUAUUAAAUAAAUAAACUAAUAAAAAUCAUUUAAAGAGUUUCAUAACUUAGUGUGGAAGCUAUUAUAAGAAAAAAGUAUUAUAUAAUAUAGAGUCUAGUUUCAAAGUUUAAAUUUAAGUCUUAAGACAAAUUCACAUUCAAAACUAGGUUUUUAAGUUUGAAAAAUAGAUCUCUUAAACCAAUUAAACGGUAAAAAAAAAAAUUAAAAAGAAAAUUUCUCUAGCUGGUUUCUUCAUCUUGAAAACUAACGGAAAUAUAUAUCAAUAUUUGAUAUGAAAAUUCGUAACCUUAGAAACACAGAACAAAGAGAGUCUGAAGAGACUAUACCAUGAGAGCUUUUCCGAAAGGUUGGUAAAACAUCGUAAUCACCUUUGAGUCUUGCUGAGAAAACAAAGCUUAUUUGCUCGUAGACCAUCGUAGUGGUCGUCAUACCGUGUGAGGACCGGGGAAGCAUCUUUGCUCGUAGACCGGCUUUUGUAGUCUUUCUUUAACAAUUACAAGUUGUCAGGAUUCCCUUCAUCCUCCCAAAUAAUAUUGUUUUUGGUCUUGUUCUGGUUGCAUCUCCGUGGAAGGAAAGAAGAUGAAUCAAGUUCCUUUGUAAGUAUCAAUGUCUCUGAUUCAUUUUUUGGUUCCUAGAAUCGAAUCCUCGCUCUGUUCUUGCUUAAUUUCUCCUUUUUCUGUUGGGUCUUUCACUGCAGGUUUAGCUCUGCACGGGAACUGGCAAAUUUGGUGCUGAGCUCCAAUCUAAUCGACUGUGCUUUCACCAAAAUUCUUGAACUUAAGAGAGGCCAAACAGCCUUGCCUGUUCAAUACAGACUUUAUCAACUGUCUUCCAAGUGCACAAUUGUAGCUUUUGUCUCUUCACCUGACUGCACUCAAUACCCUCUUCCUGGACAAGGAGAUUUAGAUCGGUCUCCUCUCUUUGACUUCCUCCGUACCGAAGAAUACCCGUCCGUCUCCAUUAACAGAGCAGCAUUAGCCCUCUUUACCCCUCUCCAUGAUCAUCUCUCUGGACUAACAGAUGAGGUCAAAAUCUGAUACUUGUUUGAAUUUUCGUUUCCUUUUCGUUAACAAUUGUGAGACACGAAACAGCUUGACCAUGAGAUCUCCCUCAUGGAGUCGAACUACCUGAAGGAUAAGACGUCACACAUAUCCAUUUUCAUGGCAUCGUCACAUGACCCAUUGAUCGGUUGUGAUUCAACUCUUAAUAGGAACACAGUAGAACUGGUGUUGGUAUCUGUCUUUAGAUCAGCUUGCAUAUAUCUUGUCACUGAAAAAGGAAUGUUCAGAAGUGAGAUUAGUGGCAUUAUUCUGACAUGGAUUUCAUAUGGUUACUUGUUUUGCAGUUGACUCAGAUUGAAGGUCAGUUAAUCAUCACUGGGCACUCCCUGGGAGGAUCCGUUGCUUCUCUCUUCACCUUACGCCUGCUAGAUGGCAAUUUAUUAAAACCCAAAUGCCGCCCCUUUUGUAUCACCUUUGGUUCACCCCUUAUAGGCGACUUUGGCCUCCAACACUCCAUAUGGAAUUCUUUCUUCCUGCAUGUAGUGUCUAACCAAGACCCAGUCCCCGGACUCUUCCUCCCAUCCGGCAGAUCUCCGCUCACAUCCUCCCAUUCACAAACUACCGGUUACAAGC